rnacentral:lncRNA from 1 species
UUGCUUUUUCCUUAUUACUGUUUGCUUUUUCCUUAUUACUGUUUGCUUUUUCCUUUUUACUGUUUCCUUUUUUACUACCGAGCCACGUGCUUUACGCAUUAUUUGACACUGACAUGUUACCUCAUACACAACUGUGACCCACUGUCACCAAGACUCUUAAAUGUGAUUUUUUUUUGUCAAGUACUCACAAAUUAUUUUUUUGAGAAGUAUCACAAUGGCAGCUACUCCAAAUAGACAAUUCAAGAAUAUUUGUGUGCUUUCUGAAUUUACCUAUGGCAAACAUAAAGAGUUCGUUGAGGCAGCCAUCGAUUUUGGUUGAAGUCUAGUAGAGAGAAAAUUACACUUGGUGUAUGGAGGAGGUAACCGAGGGUUAUAAAAAAUGGUCUCUGAAGCAGUCUUUGUCAGAGGAAGUUAAGUGUUAGGCAUCAUCCCAAGAGUCCCAAAACCAUUGGGCAAUUCGUCUGACUCAUCAACUGAAGAAGAGUUAGUCGUCUCAGGUAUGCAAGAAAGAAUAACUGAAAUGCUUCAUCAUGCUAAUGCUUUUAUUUUCCUUCCAGGAGAUCUUGCAACACUAAAGGCACUUAUCACACUAGCAUCUUGGGCCCAUCUGCACAUCCACCAGAAACCCAUCGGUUUGUUAAAUGUCAAUAACUUUUAUGAUGGCUUUAUCACUUUUCUUAACCAUGCAAUAAAAAACUAUUUCAUUCCCUCUAAUGCGAAAAAACUCUUUAUUUGUGCUCACACUGCUAAUGAGCUACUUGAUCUAUUACAAGCUUAUAAACCGAAGCCAGACCCCUGGACCUUUGUGUUAGAGCAUCCAAAUAAUGAUGGUAACAGUAGCCGCAGUAAGAAGUACAAAUUAGAUUUAACUCUCUGCUUGUAAAUAUUUUCUUCUGUGUUACACCACCCAGGUGAUGUCUUCUAAACUUUACUUCUUUCCUUUCAAACAUUGAGGACAAUGUUUCAUUCUGGUUGGGGGGAGGGAAUAGUCGACAAUUGUGGAAUCUUGGUUAAGUUUUUACUGAUUUUUUGUUGUAGAAACUAAAUGUUGCUAACUUUUUGUGUUGAAGAUGGCUGAAUAUGGAGUGUGGUUACUCUAGAAACGCAUCUUCAUCGUUUGAAAAAAAAAACAAACAAAAAAUUCAAAAAAAAUUUCAAAAAAAAAAUUUAGACAUUUUCUUUUUCUUUAUUAAGUUUUGAUGUUCAUUUUUCUUCUUCUUUUUAAUUUCUCCUUUAUAAAUAUAUUCAAAUAUUUGAGUCGAAGAUGGCUGAAUACAGAAUGUAGUGCCUCUAGAAACGUAUCUUCUUAGUUAAAAAAAAUAUUUCUUUUUCUAAUUAAUUUUUCUACAUCAUUUUCACAUUUCUGCAUGCAUAUUUUCUUUUCAUGUUUAGAAUAGGUUGGGGGGUAAAAUGUUGUUUAAAAAAAAAUUGUGUUAUUUGUUUUAACAUUAGAUGACAUGAUUAAUUUCAAAUUUUAGUAUUUGUAUUAUCUUUGGUCUUAAGUGAUAUUACGAUAUGUUUGCUACUUUACAUGUUGAUGUUGGAGACAAAUAUGAGUUGCUUGAAGGAAUGAACAUGUCAUAAAUAAGUGUCAAGUGAGUUUUUGAGCCUAUCAUUUUUCUUGGAGAGUAACCCUUUGCCUAUUCUUUAUACAGCUUAGCAGUUUAUUAUUUUAUAUAUGAUCUCUAGAUUUCUUUUGAGUUAACCCUAAAAAAAAUUGUAAAAUAAAAAAAAAAGAAGAAAAAGAAAAAAAAAUGUGUGUUGCUACAUUGGGAGGCAUAUCUAACUAGUAGAUAUGGAUGAUUAUUUAGAGCCCUAAAAGACGAUGGAAAGGCCAUCUUUGAUCCGUUUGAGCCUUUCUAUCCAUCCCUUUUAUUAAAUAUCCAUAGUUAACCCUUUUGAGCCUUUAAAAAAAAACAAAAACAUUUUCUUUGUCAACUUAUCACCUUGACCCACUCCGAUUUGGAGUAUUACCCAAUGUCUUAUAAAUUUCAACACCUAUUUAUGUUUGAGAAAAUGUAAAUAAUUAUUUUGUUCAGUGAAGUUAUGCCAAAUAAAAACAAAAAACAAAAACAAAACAAAACAAAACAAAAGUUGUUGUUUCAAAGGAAUAAAAAUAACAAUAAUAGGUGAAAUCCACCUUGCAACUUCCACAAAAAAAAAAAUUCUCUGCAUUUUUCUCAAACAUACACUUUGUUUUCUCUAUUUUCCUUCUUUGUUAGCCAUGUCCCUAGCCUACGUUAUGUCCUAAUAAAAGUCCUUCUUGAUUUUAGGGAACUAUAGUUUGAAGUAGAAGCUAGUUAUAUGGGCUAAAAAGAUGUAGUGGUGCAUAAUAAUAAAAAAAAAGAUAAAUAAAAUGGGUUGACUAGCAUUUUUGUUUGACUUGAGAUCGUAUUAUUUCUAAGCUGAGGGCAUCUUUCUUUCAUCUUGGUGAGAGCAUGUGAUAUCACUUCUUUAUUAUUUUCUCUCUCAAGUACCAUUCAUUGGAGUGACUAUUUUUAUUGGGUUUAAUUUCUUUGUGAGAGUGUCACUGCUUCCAGUGCGGUUUUGGGGUUUGACAUGUCAUUCUUGAAAGUAGUUAUGACAAUCUACUAGGCUGAUUCAUGUGGAUGGUUGAUGUGGGUGUGAUGUUGCUUUAGACUGGAGAUAAUGCUUAUACUUUUAUUUGAAUGCUAUCAUUAGUCUGAUUGAAUAAACAAGAUUGUUAAAAAAAAAUGUGUUUGAAUUUUGUUUUCGCUUUAUUUGCUAGGGACUAGCAAUAAGCUGGUUGAGGGUGUGUUGAGUGUUAGAAAAUAUAUAUUUAUAAAGGAGAAAAUCGUCAUUUUACAUUUUAAGUCUUACUAACAACCCUUACUUUUAUGUAUUUAAGGUUCUUGUAAUUUAAUUAUGUGUGUUUUAUUUUAAUUAAGUAUUUUGUGUAUUUUAGGGGCAUCAUAGUCAUUUCACAAUAAACAAGAGAUCAAACGGCAAAACGGACAUCACUUUUGAACUCAGGACGGUCGAAAACCUUAGGAGGAGCAUAAAAGGAAAAAUGGCACUGUUCACAUGUACGGUACUAUUCACAUGUACGGUACUGUCUACGUUACUGUUCACGACACUGUUCGCACAGACGGAUCGAUGACAUGGCAUUGACCGAUGAUGUGGCAUUGACUAAUAAGGUGUCAUGAUCCUGUUAGUCUAAAAUUCUUAUGAACUGUUGAUGGUGACGUGGCAGCAUAUUAGUGGACCAAAACUUGUGCGUACGGUACAUGCAUUACACAGGAUUAUUUUGAACCAAACCGCGUUACUUUUCAAAGCCGGGUCAAACCGCGUUACUGUUCAAAGCCGGGUCAAAUCGUGUUACUGUUCACCCGCGUGGUCAAAUCGCAUACUGUUGACUGAUGACGUGGCGCAAUCCUGAGCGUCCAAACUAUUUUUAAUCUGAUGGCCAUGAUUUACUCCAUGUAUCUAUAAAAAGGGGGCCUCUCCCCCCUAAUUUGAUAUCUCUGAAUUCAUUUUUGGACUCCAUUUUCUGUAAUUCCUUCUCCAUCUUGUAUUUUCUAUGUAUUUUAAUAAAUUCUCAUUUUGCCCCUAGUUCAAUUAUGAGUAGCUAAUUUUCUUUCAAGCUUGGGUUGAAUGUGAAGUCUCAACAUGUGUCAUGGGCUUUAUUUGGUAAAUUUAUUUUCUCUUCCCCUCUAAUUUUUGUGGAUGUUUUGACUUCUCGUCGACAAAUAAUACUAAUCUUGUCUAGUACCGCCUUGGUUUCACCAGCCUCCUAGUACAAGGUUAUUAUUAUUUGGCACGAUAAGCCCUUAGCACCAUAUUGAUUAGAGCGUGGUUCAUGUGGUGUGGAUUCCCCCCUCAUGAUUUAAUUGGCAUUAAUAAGGAUUAUUUAGCCCAUGAUGCAUGUUGAUACGGAUCCAGAUACCCAAGUACGACAUUUCAAUAGAAUUCUCUUCAAUUUAUUCUCGCUAUUUCAAUUCCAAUUUUAGAAUUUAUUCUCAUCAUUUUAAUUUAAGUUUUAGCAUAUUCCAAAUUAUUUCUACCACAAAUCCAAUCACCCAUUUACAAAAUUAAUUCUAUACACAAUUAAAAUCCACCUCCUCGUGGGAUCGACACUCGUCUCCAUUAAUCUAUUCUACAAUAGAUUAGUGCGCUUGCGAGUACAUUAAAAUUUGCACAACAAUAGCCUGCCUCAUCCGUAAAUGUAUCAAAUUUGACUUGGCCAGUCAAAUAAGAGUUUGUCAAAUUGAUAAGUAUCAUACACGAAUUAUAGAUGUGAUAUCAUUCACUAGGAUUAUGAUUCGAAAACGUAGCUUAAAUAAUAGUGAAUCUAGUGUGCAGGUGUCUAAAGUCGUCAUUGUUAUGAAAUAUCUCAAACCAAACUGCAACUUAUAAAUUACCCAAAAAGUAGCUCAAAAAUUCAAACACAUAAGUAGGGCUUCUAGCCAUUUACAACUGAUGCUUCUGGUCAUUUAUUUAUGCAUCUGGGUUUUUUAAUGGAUAACAUCCUUUAUGCUCUAUGAUUAUCAAUAAUAUUCAUUUACCAAUAUGAUAAAAGUCAUUUGCUAAAGAUCCAUAGUAUCAUUUAUUAUUGCUAUGAAUAUUGAAAUUUAAACAUAAAAUAAAGCAUAGCAUUUUAGAAACACGUAAUCAUAAAAGAGAUGGUAGUUUAAACCAUUAAACAAAACCAUAUCAUUAUAUCAAGGGGAUGUAGUGCUAUGAUAAUAUAGAACUAAAUCAUAUAUGGUAACAUAAAAUUUUUGUACUAGAAAUUGGGUAAAGAUGAUGAGUCAAAACUCGAUCUAACAUAUAUCUUAAGUCAAUAAUUAGUUUUAAAGAAUAAAUAUAGAAUUGAGGUUAAAGAACAAGUGCACCUGAGAUUGUGAUCUGCAUUAUUUGAUUGGCAUUUCAUCAAGCAAAUUCCAAGCUUGACUUCGCAUUUUGCAAUAUUAUAACUUGGGCAUAAAAUGAAUAAAAUUUGCGGGAAAGAAAAAUCCAACUUUGUCAAUGCUUUGAAGCUUGAAAAUAUGCCUUUCAGUUCUCAUCAUCAAUAAGCAUUUGUUUUGUUUUAAAAGCUUUAUUAAAGUGAGCCAAAAUAAUCAAUAUUCAGCCUUUUCCAAAUUAUGCUAAUUGUACUUCUUAUUACACUUCCUUAAUAAUUAUGGGAAUUUAUGCAAUGUGAAUGACAACUACCAUCAAAAGACGGUGUAUAUAUGCAUAAUUUCUAAUGUUCUCUUUGCGAAAAUAUAAUAAAGCUGUGGUUAAGAAUAAUUCAUGCUCUCAAUUAAUUUGAUACUUAUAUUGAAUAAACUGAAACAAAACCUGGGUUUAGAUCUUGGCUCCUGGGCAACAUUGUCUCAAGCAUAUAUGUAGUUGUAAUCAGCAACAAACUCACUUUUGAACUUUCAUAUCCCUUGAGGCGAUUUAACGAAUAGCUCCUGAUUUGAAUUUUAACAAUUUUGCCUCAACUUGUAAUGAACUGAAUUUCAUACCAGAAUUAUCUAAAUACCUUCCAUGCAUAUUCUUCACAUGAAAACUAGCUGCAUGAUUGAUUGAUGGGGUGUAAAACCAGCAGGAAAUAUCUUGAAGAAACCAAAGAUCCGUGGAUUUUUUAUGCUUACCACCUGAAUUUAACUAUAUGUGUAAUCUUUAUUUUGUACCGAUUCCCCAUAGACGGCGCCAAAUGUCGAUGCCCAAAUCUGAUCUAUUAUAUUAGAGACUUAAUAUCAGACUUCUACACCAGCAUUAGAUUUAUUUGGUGGAGAAUCGAUUGGUCAAUCGUCAAGAUGUCCUGCAACCAUUAGCGAUUAACCUGCGAAUACCUGAAAUCAUAGAAGAUAGUCAGAGGCACCGAAAGUUUUUCCAGCGUGAAACCUCUGACGCUCAAGUCAAUUUCUGGGCCUUCGCAAAAAACUUGUGCCACCACUCAUAUGGCUUAAUAAACAUUGCCUUAAAACCAAAAGCUUUUUGAGUGAUUUGCAGAAAAGUGAAGUAGAGUGUAAAAGAAAGAAUUUUCCAUGAGAGGAAGAGAGAAAAAAAUGCCCUCCAGAAAAAAGUAAAAAUAAAUAAGUAAUCCUUUUAAGGUAACGCCCCACUCCCCUCUUUUCCCCUUUGUUCUCCUCCACUUUCGGAAGUUAAGGAUGAGAUAAAAGCAAUGCCUCUACUCUCCAUUUUUUUCUCCUUUUUCCUUUACCAAACAAGAAUCUCUACUUGUAACGCAUUUUCAUAGAAUAUGAUGGACCGUAGUCGAGACAAACGGCCAAUUUUGGGUGGGAUUUUACCAUAGAAUUUGUUAUGCUAAAGAUUGAUAAGUCUUAAGGAAUGUCAAAUUGCUCAUAAAGGAGAAAUGUUACCUGUAAAAUUUUGUUCACUGAGAUUCAAUACAGCGACUCUUUGAUGUCAACGGCUACAAGUGACACCAUGCCACUGGCAAAAGUUAACAAUCAUGCCAUGUAGUCAAGGCUCCAAAGCGAUCAUCACCAUCCUUGCUUUUGAAAGCAAGCAAAGUGAGUUUAUUAGUUUCACUUCCAAGAUUAGCCCAUUGGAAUGAAGGGAAAUGAAAGUAAUUUAGAAAGAUAAAUGGAAGAAAAUAAGAAUGCUACUUGGGAAAUUUUAGAACGCUUCAUUUAUAUGAGAACCUGGAAUGCAAAUGUAAGAGAGAUUGUAACAUUUUUCAAUUUUUGGUUUAACAUUCUGGAAGAAAACGACUUGCCGUUUCUGGAGAAAACGGAAUUUCAGAGAGCAUAUUUUCUGUUCUACAGGAAAAGGCUAAUCGUUUGGAGAAAACGACUAAUGGUUUAUUUCCAGAGAGUAUGUUUUCUGUUCUAUAGAAAACGGCUAACCGUUUGGAGAAAACGGCUCACCGGUUAUUUCUAGAGAGCAACUUAUUUGACAUUCUGGAAUAAAAUGGCUCGCCGUUAUUGAGAAACCGGCUAACCGUUUUCUUCCAGAGAGCGCGUUUUCACGUCAAUUAGAAAAACAGUUAACAAGCUUGAAAAAUCAAUUGUGAAUGGAUGCAAAUUUCAAACCAAAAAGAGUGUCUUUGAAGAAGUAUCAUUUCUAAUGGUUGUAAUCUUUCAUAUAAACAUGUUCUUCAUUAAAAUAGACAUAUACAUUGGAUCAAAUAGAUCAGAUUAAUUACAUAUUUCUUUGUGUUCUGGAAUACAAUCUUAUUUGCUAGAGAUUGUAUUCAGGAUUUGUUAUAUCUUGAAAGUAAUUAGAAAAAUGGUUAGCAAGCUUGAAAAUUCAAUUGUGAAUGGAUGCAAAUUUCAAACAAAAAAAAGUGUCUUUGAAGAAGUAUCAUUUCUAAUAGUUGUAAUCUUUCAUAUAAACAUGUUCUUCAUUAAAAUAGACAUAUACAUUGGAUCAAAUAGAUCAGAUUAAUUACAGAUUUCUUUGUGUUCUGGAAUACAAUCUUAUUUGCUAGAGAUUGUAUUUAGGAUUUGUUAUAUCUUAGAAGUAAUUUGCCAUUAAAACUCUAUAGCAAACGAAGAUUGGUGAGGGCAAAUAAAACCUUAAAACAAAGUGUGCAAACACGUUUCAAAUCCUAAGAAAUUUAUUUGUUCUUUGCCACCAUAUCCGAAAAUCUACUAACAAUCUUUAAGGUUUUAUAUUUUUUUGUUACAAAUGGAGGUUGAGAAGAAUUUAACUUCAUUUCUUAAUCCUAGUGUCCAUCUCGAUCGUUUUGAUGGCACUAAUUUCACUCGUUGGAGAGGGAAAUUGUUAUUUCUCCUUACUGUUCCUAAAGUGGCAUAUGUUCUUGAUCCAAAAUUGGAACCGUUUUCAGAACCAAAAGAAGAUGAUACAGAAAUUGUUAAGGCUGCAAGGAAAAGGCGUGAAGAUGAUAAGUUGAUGUGUCAGGGUCAUAUACUCAAUACACUUUCUGACAGGCUCUAUGAUCUUUACAAUUCUAUAGCUUCUCCAGUAGAAAUUUGGAAUGCUCUUGAGUACAAAUAUAAAACGGAGAAGGAAGAUACUAAUAAAUUUCUUGUCUCUAAAUAUUUUGAAUUUAUUAUGGUAGACACAAAAUCCAUUCUUGAUCAAAUACAUGAGUUAAAAUUAUAAUUGCUAAGCUUCGAGAGUUAAAAGUUGAAAUUUCUGAAUCAUUUCAAGUUGGGACUAUUAUUGCUAAAUUGCCUCAAAGUUGGAAUGAUUAUAGAAAGAAACUCCUUCAUAGUAAAGAGAACAUAACUUUAGAAGAAUUACAAAAACACUUAGUAAUCGAAGAAGAGACAAGGUCUCACGAAUCCAAGGAUAAGUAUGAUUCUACUAAGGUUAAUGUUGUUGAAGCUAGUAAAUUUUCAAAGAAUUUUAAAGUCAAGAAUGACAAGAAAUUCAAGAAGUCCAGCACACAAAAGUUUCUGGAAAUUGUUUCUUUUGUGGCAAGAAAGGCCAUCGCCAUUCGCCAUUCGCCAUUCACCAUUCGCCAAAGUGAUUGCAGAUUCAAGAAGAAAAAUGAAGAAGUGAAUUCCCAUAAAGCUAAUGUUAUUGAAGACAAAUUUGAAGAGAUUUGUGCUAUGGUUUCUGAAAUGCAAAUUGGCAUGAUUACCGAAACCAAUAUGGCUAAAACUAAGUACUAUGAUUGGUGGCUCGAUUUGGGUGCAACAAUUUAUGUUUGUAAUGAUAAGAAAUUUUUCUUAUCAUACAAAGAAGAAACGGAAGGACAAAUGGUUCUCAUGGGAAACAAUAAUGCAUCCAUGGUAACAGGGAAAUGAGUAGUUGAGAUCAACUUCACUUCUGGAAAGAAAGUUACAUUGUAUAAUGUCUUUCAUGUACUUUUCAUUAGGAAGAAUCUUGUUUCUGCUAGUUGUAUUUGUAAGCAUGGGCUUAAGAUUGUGUUUGAGGGUAAUACUUGUAUUAUCUCAAAGAAUUGAUUAUUUGUUGGAAAAGGGUAUUCUUGUGAUGGAAUGUACAAACUCAGCAUUAAUAAUAAUGACAUCAACUUAGCUUAUAUUGUUGAGUCUUGUGAUGUUUGGCACGCUAGAUUAACACAUGAAUUUUAGAUCUUUGAAAUACAUGUCUAAGCAUGGUUUGAUUAAUUGCAAUGAUGUUAAAGGUCAUAAGUGUGAAAUCUACAUUCAAGCUAAAUUAACUAAGAAACUUUUUCCUAAAGCCGAACGAAAUACUCAAAUAUUGGAUUUAAUACAUACUGAUAUUUGCGAGUAUAAUGGCGUUUUAACAAGAGGAGGUAAGAGGUACUUUAUCACUUUUAUUGAUGAUUGUUCUAGAUACACUCAUGUGUAUUUACUUAGAACAAAAGAUGAAGAUUUUGAUAAAUUUAAAAUUUUCAAAGCUGAAGUUGAGAACCAAAAAGAUAAGAAAAUCAAAAUGGUUCGAAGUGAUAGAGGUGGUGAAUAUUUCUCAAUUGAAUUUAAUAAUUAUUGGGAAGAAUUUGGAAUUAUUCACCAAAGAUCAGCUCUAUUUACUCCUCAACAAAAUGGUUUGGUUGAAAUGAAGAAUAUGAUCUUUACGGAUAUGAUAAAUUCCAUGAUCCUUAAUGCAAAACUACCAAAUAAUUUGUGGGGGGGAGCAUUACUCACUGCAUGUCAUAUUCAUAACAUAAUUACAUCUUUGAAAACACAUGUAUCUCCUUAUGAAAUUUGGAAAGAAAGAAAACCAAACUUGAUGUAUUUAAGGGUCUGGGGUCGUUUAGAUUUUUAUAAAAUACAUUAUCCUAAAUUAUCAAAGUUAGGUGCUAGAGGUAUAAAAAUUGUUUUCAUAGGAUAUGCUGAAAAUCCAAGGCUUAGAGGUUGUUAAAUUUAGAUUCUAAUAUGAUUGUGGAAUCUAGAGAUGUUGAAUUUAUUGAAAAUAAAUUUCAACAUGAUUCCAAUAUUGAAUUAGAAUCAAUUAUUGAUCAACCAAGUGAUAAUACUCCUGGUACUUCCACUAAUAACAAUAAAAGGAAAUAGUAUGUGACAUCUUUCGAACCAAGGAGGAGUCAACGUGAAAAGAAAGAAAAAAGUUUAGCUCUGGAUUUUAUUUCAUCACAAGUACUACUCUUCUUGGUUGAAUGGGAUAGAAAGAAUGUACUUAACAAAGUACCAUUGUUGUUAAAUAUUGAAAAAGAUUCAAAGACAUUUAGCGAAGCUAUGUCUUCUAGAGACGCUUCAUUUUGGAGAGAGGUGGUAAAUGAUUAAAUGGAUUCGAUUAUGUCGAAUCAAACUUGGGUCUUGGUUGAUCUUCUUCCAAGAUCUAAACCAAUUAGCAGCAAAUGGGUAUUUAAAAGAAAGUACAAUAGUGAUGGUUCUUUGCAAACUGUUAAGGCUAGAUUAGUAGCCAAAAGGUUUAAGCAAAUAAAUGGUAUUGAUUAUUUCGAUACAUAUGCUCCGGUAGCAAGGUUAACUUCUAUAAGAGUGCUAUUUGCAAUUGCUUCAUUGAACAAUUUGUAUGUGUAUCAAAUGGAUGUUAAAACCGUUUUUCUUAAUGGUGAUCUUGAUGAAGAAAUCUAUAUGGAACAACCUGAGGGAUUUGUUUUGCCUGGUGAGGGUAAAUAAAACCUUAAAAGAAAGUGUGCAAACACGUCUCAAAUCCUAAGAAAAUUCUUUAUUCUUUGCCUCCAUAUCUAAAAAUCUACUAACAGCAAAUGUCUUUAUUCGGAAUUCUAAUGUUCCUGAUUUGUUGCACUGCUGUGCUUCGCGCCUUCCUGAUUAUAGUACAUAGUUUCUAGAAAAUGACAAUUUCUUCGAUCAGUGACGACAUUUGAUGACAUUUACAUGAAAAAUCGUUGUAAAUAGGCAAUAAUAUUACCAGGAAAGCUCUUAAAUCAAUAAAAAAAAUCGUGUUUUUUUUUUCUUUAUGCAUAAAAUUUUGAUAAUAAAUGCAUCCUUAAACUUUUAUUUUUGGACUGUUGAAAAUUUCUGUAUUUAGAAAUUAAAGAAAAUAAAGUUUUUUAGAUUUGAUGACACGUUUGCAUGACAACAACUGAAGAAGCGUCAAUAUGAAUUGUGUAAUAUUUUAUUAUUAUUAUUAUUAUCUAGCCUAACGGCAAUUUAUUAUUUCCCCCAUCUUAUAUAAAUAGUGUUCAAAUCCAGACCCCUUAUUUUUAAUAUAAAAAUUUUUACUAUUUGUGCUAGAUAAAAGAAGAUUCAAUAAAAUAAAACAUUCAUGACACCCUUGCUUAUUUUCACGUAACUUAACCUAACCCAAAUAGAAUAAAUUAAAAAAUGACUUUUGUGCUUUGACUUUUGUGUUGCGACUGCAUGCAUCCACUAACGAGACUACUAAACAAAAAAAAGCAAUGCUGCAUUUUUUUUCCCUUUAAAAUAGCUUUAUGGAAAUUAAAUUUGUCCCAAUUCAUAUGAGCAUUCGUUGAACCUAAAUCUCUUUUAUUCAAUUUAAGAGAUUUUAUAAAUUGAACUAACUACCCUUAAAAGAUUUAAAGUACAUAAUUUUUAUCACAAGUGAUAUGAUAUAACUAGGGAUGGCAAAAAUCCCCACGGGGACGGGUACCCUCGGGGAUUUUCCCCAUUCGGGGAGGGUAUGGGGAUAAUUUUAUACCCAAUUUUUUAUUCGGGGAGGGGACGGGGAUGAGGUGGAAUCCCCAUCCCCUACCCAUUUCCCCAUUUUAAUUUUUAAUUUUAUUUUUAUUUUUAAAAUUACUAAUAAAUAAAUAACAAAAUUAUAAAUAUUGUUAAAAAUAAUAAAUAUCAAAAUAUUUAUAUUAUUAAAUGCUAAUAGGUAUCCUACAUUAGCUCGAAUUGCUAGAGAUAUUUUGGCAAUUCCAAUUACAACAGUUGCUUCUGAAUCAGCUUUUAGCACCGGUGGUAGAGUUGUGAGCCCACACCGUAACAAACUUCAUCCAAGCACAUUGGAGGCCUUAAUGUGCUGUCAAAGUUGGUUACGAGCUUACAAUAACAAUAUGAGUUUAUUUUACAUUGUGAUUAUAUUAUACAGUUAUUAAUAUUUGCACUUAUAAGUUACUUUACUUAUAUUAUUUUCAUUGUUUUAUAAUUAUUUUAAUAAUUUAUAUUUUGAAUGUGACUUUGUAAUGGAUCAAUAUUAAUGUAAGAUAUAUUUUGAACUUUAUUUUUAUCUGAAUUUUUUAUUUUAAUAUGAUUAAUUUAAAAUCGAAAAUAAAAAUAAUGUAUUAGACUAUUAGUUAUUCGGGGACCGGGGACCCUCGGGGAUCCCCUGUUAUUAUUCGGGGAGGGGAUGGGGAUUCUCUCAAGUAAUUCUGACGGGGACGGGGAGGGGACGGGGACAUAUGCAAAAUAUCGGGGAUGGGUAUGGGGAGAUUGGUCCCCUCCCCUCCCCUCCCCAUUGCCAUCCCUAGAUAUAACCUUAUUAAUUGAUAGGCGGUAUAACAGUGUCAAGGUAAAAUGAAUUAUAAUUAUAAUUAUAAUUUUAUUAUAAUCAUAAAUAUUUUUUUAAUAGAUUAUUGUUAUUAAAAUAAAAUUUUGUUUAGCCCCCUCUACUCAAUUUUAUUUUAUUAAAACCAUAGAGUAUAAAUUCGCCCCCAUAAUUUUAAAUUCUCAAAAUAACCUCCAUUUAAUUAAAAAUAUAAUUAUUUUUAAAUGAAUUAUAAUUAUAAUUAUAAUUAUAAUUUUAUUAUAAUCAUAAAUAUUUUUUAAUAGAUUAUUGUUAUUAUUAAUAAGUAAUAACAAGAAUAAAAAGCAUUAUAAAUUGUUAAUAAUAAUAAUAAUAAUAAUAAUAAUAAUAAUAAUAAUAAUAAUAAUAAUUAAUGAUUAUCUAACUAAUAGUAAAUAUAUUGCUAAUGCUACCUUCGACUUUAAAUACUCAUUAUCGGGUUUCAAGAGACCAAUGAAUGAUAAUUUCUGUCAGAAUUUUAAGCUUGACCCAAUAAAAAUAAUUUUGUAUUUAAAAAAUAGAAGCAAGAAAAAUGUGUUUACAUCCUCGAAUGUGUAACAACUUAGCAAAAAGCACUUAAAAAUAACCGUUUAAUAAUGAGAUGCCUACAAAAUCAUUAUUUAUGAAGGUAACAAAAAAAUCCUAAAAGUACUUGAAAUUAAAAUGUAUAGAAAUAUAAAAGAGUCUCCUAUAUAAAUAUAGACUCAGUGUUUAUUCUAUUUUAUUAUAAUCAUAAAUAUGUUUAUUAUCAUUCAUUAUUAUUAUUAUUACUAACAAUUUAAUAAAAAUAUUAUUAAUUAUUGUUAAUAGAUUAAUUAAUUAUAAUAUUUUUUAUUAUCGUUAUUAAUAAUAACAAUAAUCUAUUAAAAAAUAUUUAUGAUUAUAAUAAAAUUCUAAUUAUAAUUAUAAUUUAUUUAAUUACAAUAUUAUAUUUUUAAUUAAAUGGAGGUUAUUUUGAGAAUUUAAAAUUAUGGGGGCGAAUUCAUACUCUAUGGUUUUAAUAAAAUAAAAUUGAGUAUAAGGGGGUUAAACGAAAUUUUACAUUUUAAAAAAUUUAUAAUAUUUAUAAAUAAAAUAUAAAUAAUAUAGAGUAUAGGGGGACAAUAUAAAAUUGGACGGGCUGAGCGUAACUUACGUUUAACGUAAGUUAGGCGGACCCAAUUAAUCAACACCCUCGUCUUUUUUCUUUUCUUUUUUUUGUGGGGGGUCAACAAAGGAUCUGUAAGUGUUAAAAUACGGGGCCAUGAGAAAGAUACGCUUCAUAAAAUAAACUCUUGAUAAUACUGCUUUAAAAAAUGUCGAUAAAAUAUAUUGCCAUCUGUCACUCAUCAGAUUAAUGUCAAGCUGUCAGCGGAAAACAGCAAUUAUUUGAGCAGAUAAUUUCAACGGAGUUAAUUAUCUUCCAAGAAACAUUCGAUCAUUCUAUUUUUUAUCGUUAUUUCUCCUUUUGUUAUUCUAAAUAAAUUGCUGAAAUUUGCAUUGACUUCUGAAACUCUUCAAUCCUCAAACAAUGGAGUAUCAAUUUUUGAACUCCAAAUGGUUUUGGCUACACUUCCUUGAGUUCAUUCAUGUUUUAUGGAUGACUCCAGGUUUAAAAUCGGCAAUCAUUGAAGUUGAUGACAAGCUUGCUUUAAUUGACUUCAAGAGUCACAUAACUCAAGAUCCUCUGCAAAUCAUGAGCUCAUGGAAUGAUUCAAUACAUUUCUGCAACUGGGUUGGUGUUACAUGCAGUCCCUCCAAUGAAAGAGUCACAGCCUUGAAGCUGGAAUCAAAACAGUUAGUUGGCUCAAUUCCUCCUUCUGUAGGAAACCUUACAUGUCUUAAAGUAAUCAACCUGCAAGAGAACAACUUUCAUGGACAAAUUCCUGACGAAAUAGGCCGUUUACAGCAGCUGCAGGAUCUCAAUUUGACUUACAAUUACCUUAGUGGGAGUAUUCCAUCAAAUUUAUCUCACUGUAGAGAACUUCGAGUGUUUGAUACUAGUGCCAACGGUCUCAUUGGCCAGAUACCUGAUCAGCUUAGUUCACUGGAAAAACUUGAAAUCAUUCGCCUUGGACGCAACAAUCUUACAGGAAAUAUCCCAGCUUGGAUAGGGAAUUUUUCUUCUUUGCAUGUUCUGUGGCUUGCUCUGAAUGAUUUUCAUGGAAACAUACCAAUUGAACUUGGCCAGCUUUCAGGCCUAGGAAUUUUUCAACUUUAUGGGAAUUUUCUGUCUGGUAUGAUCCCUUCUUCAAUUUAUAAUAUCUCAUCCAUACAUUAUAUUUCUGUGACUCAAAACCAGCUGCACGGACAGCUGCCUUCAGAUGUUGGCCCAACUCUUCCAAAUCUGGAAAUAUUUGCUGGUGGCGUUAACUACUUUACAGGAAGUAUUCCUAUAUCAUUGUCUAAUGCCUCCAAGCUUCAGAUUCUUGACUUUUCUGAUAAUGGUCUCACUGGGACAAUUCCUCAAAACUUUGGAAGCUUGAACAGUCUAGUUAGACUUAAUUUUGAGAUUAACAAACUUGGAAGUGGGAAGAUAGGCGACUUGAAAUUUCUCUCUUUCUUGGCUAAUUGUACUAGUCUUGAAGUGUUAGGUCUUGCUCAAAAUCGCUUCGGGGGAGAAUUGCCUAGCUCCAUUGCAAACCUUUCAACCCAUUUGCGAAUUCUUACAAUGGGAGAUAAUCUCUUUUAUGGAAACAUCCCAGUUGGAAUUGGAAACCUUGUUAACUUGAGCCUUUUGGGAUUUGAAGGGAACAAUUUAAGUGGCAGUUUCCCUGAAGUUAUAGGGAAGCUCAACAAAUUAGAGGGAUUGGAGUUGAAUGCUAACAAAUUUUCAGGAUUUAUCCCGUCUUCCGUUGGUAACUUGACUGUAUUAAGUAGGCUUUUGAUGGAGGAGAAUAGAUUUGAAGGAAGCAUCCCUUCGAGUCUUGGAAACUGCACAAAGUUACAGGUGUUGAACUUAUCAAGUAAUAAUCUCAACGGCACCAUACCCAAAGAAGUUGUCAGCCUUUCUUCUCUUUCAAUUUCUUUGGUCAUGUCUCAUAAUUCUUUGACUGGUUCACUCCCACCUGAAGUAGGCAAGUUGACCAAUCUUGUUGAAUUGGACGUGUCGUACAACAGGUUAUCAGGUGAAAUUCCAAGCAGCCUUGAUAGUUGUAUUAGUUUGGAGCGUCUGUAUCUGGGGAAUAACUCAUUUAAAGGGACAAUUCCUGUAUCCUUAAAAAGUUUAAGAGGUUUAGCAGAAUUAGAUCUUUCAUGUAAUAACUUGUCUGGCAAGGUUCCCCAAUUUUUCAGCAAGCUUUUAUCUCUCAGGCAUCUCAAUCUCUCUUACAAUGAACUGGAUGGAGAAAUAUCCAGGGAAGGGAUUUUUGCAAAUGCCAGUGCCAUUUCCAUUGUUGGGAAUGAUAAGCUCUGUGGUGGCAUCCAAAAAUUACAGUUACCUGAAUGCUCCAGAAAAAAUCCCAGAAAACGUCUUUCUCUAAAAAUAGUAAUCCCAGUAACUAUUUCAGUCCCAAUUUUUAUUCUUCUUUUGGCUGCUUUGGUUAUUUAUCGUAUAGUCAAAACUUCAAGAAGACAGUCCGCUCCUCCUUCUAAUGAGUGGCAAUCCGGCCUGUCUUAUUUGGAGAUCUCAAAUGCAACUGAAAACUUCUCUGAGGAAAAUUUGAUUGGUUCUGGCAGUUUUGGUUCUGUAUAAAAGGAACUCUUGCUGAUGGGGAAACUGCUGCAAUUAAGGUACUAAAACUGCAACAGCAAGGAGCUUUAAAGAGCUUCAUUGAUGAAUGCAAUGCUUUGAGUAGUAUACGACACCGUAACAUCCUCAAGAUCGUAUCUUCAUGCUCAAGUGUUGAUUAUGAAGGGAAUGACUUCAAAGCUUUAGUUUUUGAGUUCAUGCGGAAUGGAAAUCUGGACCAGUGGCUGCACCCAAGUACUGAUGAGUAUUGUCAUUUUAAGAAAUUGAGCCUCAUGCAGAGACUGAAUAUAGUGAUAGAUGUAGCAUCAGCAUUGGAUUAUCUCCACAACCAGUAUGACACACCAAUUGCACAUUGUGAUCUAAAGCCAAGCAAUGUACUCCUUGAUGAAGAUAUGAUAGCUCAUGUUGGUGACUUUGGAUUGGCAAAAUUCCUCUUUGAAGAAUCCAAUACUCCCUCCAAAAAUCAAACAAUGUCAAAUGGGCUCAAGGGUUCCGUUGGUUACAUCCCUCCAGGUACUUCUUAAACCAAAUACAUCACACUUCUUUCUUGACACUAUCAACUUUGAUAUUCUAAUUACAAAUUUCACAAAGUGCAGAGUACAUCAACGGCCAUGUUUCAAUACUUGGAGAUAUAUACAGCUAUGGCAUACUAUUGCUGGAGAUAUUUACAGGAAAAAGACCAACAGAUGACAUGUUUAAAGAUGAUCUGAGCAUUCACAAGUUUGUAUUAAUGGCCUUGCCCAGCCAUGUCAUGGAUGUUCUUGACCUAUCAAUGUUGCUUGAAGAAGAAAACGAUCAUGAAAAACAUGAGGAAGAAGAUUUGUUUCCAGACAUUGAAUCACAAUUUGCUCAAAAGAAAUUGGAAGAAUGCUUGGUUUCAGUGAUGAGAAUUGGAGUCAUUUGUUCUGCAACUUCGCCAAGAGAUCGGGUGGGCAUGAAAUUUGUUGUUAACAAUCUGCAAGCGAUUAGAUCAAAAAUAAGAAUGCGAGAAGAAUGAGAAGUCUAAAAGAUUUCAACUCAUCUUUUAGAAGUAUGUAAUUUCAAAUUAGUAAAAACUUAGAUAAAUAAAGAUGGCCUGGUUUUAUUGCUGUAAUUUAAUGUUCAUGGAACAUUUUCGUGCUGACAUAUAUAUAUUUCUUAUUACUUGCAGCCACCUCGCUGAAACAACAGUGAAAGAUAACUGCUAUUUGCCUGCAUCUUGAGUUGAGCAUUAAUUAAUCCCACAUCGACGAAGAGUGCUUUUGACUUUCUGCAGAUUGUUUACAACAUCACUGAUGUCCAUCCGUUCUCUGGGGGAUUCUACUGAACAAGCAACUCCAAUUUUGAGUAUUGUGGCCAGACUCUCUUGUACUUGGUCCUGUUUAAGUUUUUCUUCAGCUGUUCCUUCUCCUUCUUCUCCUCCAGUAACAAAGAGUGGGUCUAAAACUUCUGAUAUUUGUUCAGGCAAUGCGUUUUUAACAAAAUUGUGGAGGUCCAAACCUUCCGCAAAUAUGUCACUGGUAGGCCUUUUCCCUGUAAAAGUUUCCAGCAAGAGGAUCCCAUAGCUGUACACAUCACCAUAUGUUGAAACCCGACUUCCCAUGCCAUAUUCUACAAUAUUCAAAUCGUUCAUUAGUUAGAAGCAGGAGAAUUUUUCAGUUUUAAGUACAGUUACUUCUCACUUGUGCUUAAUUUGGCCUGUUUGUAAGCACAGGUAACGUGUUAAGAACUUAUAUUACCAGUACACCGACCAAAUUGAUAGCUAAUGAUUACUGAACACCUACCCAAUAUAUAGUUAUAUUUUGCAUCUGGGAUACAAUUUCCGAGAAUAAAGACUUCUAAAAAAUUGUUCAUGAAUAAAACAAGAAAUCAAUGGUUACCUGGUGGAGCAUACCCAACGGUUCCUUUCAGUCCAAUUGAGCUACUUUGAUUGGAACGGAUAGCUUCCGGAAUAAACCUUGUUAACCCAAAAUCGCCCACAUGUGCAGUCAUGUCAUUAUCAAGAAGAAUGUUGCUUGGCUUUAAAUCACAAUGAACAAUUGGCUUUCCGUAUUGGCGAUGAAGAUAUUCUAGAGCAGAAGCCACAUCAAUGGCAAUGUUCAAUCUUUGAAGAAGACUUAAAAUCCUGGAGCUGUAAUUCAGAUCAUCCGAAGUUGAUUCUGGAUGCAACCAGAUCUCUAAACUUCCAUUGUGCAUGAACUCAUAAACUAAAGCUUUGAAAUCAUUGCCUUCAAAAUCGGAACUUGAACAUGCAGUUAUGAUUUUGACAAGAUUACGAUGCCUAAUGUUUCUUAAGACCUCGCAUUCAGCCAUGAAGCUCUUUAAAGCCCCACGUUGAUGUAAGAACAGCACCUUCACCGCAACAACUGUUUGAUCCGGAUCUAGUAUUCCUUUGUAGACUGAGCCGAAGCUUCCAGCACCAACUAAAUUGGCAGAAGAAAAUCCACCGGUAGCUUUCAGGAGACUUUCGUAGGAGACAUUUAGAAGCAAAUCCUUCCUUGAUGAAGACUCUGAACCAGUCACUGUUCUUUUCUUUCUCAAUCGAUUGAUUAUUAAAAGAGACAUGACCAAAACUAGCCCCACAAGCCCAGGGAGGAGCGGAAUCAUAAACUUGAGCCCUUUGGAUUUCUCACUUUUCUUUGACUCACUGGAAGUACAUGGUGGCAACUUGAGUUCUGAGAUUCCUCCACAAAGCUUUCCAUUACCAGCUACCGAUAUGGCAGAUGAAUUCUUAAAGAUCCCUUUAUGUGGAACUUCUCCCUCUAGAUUGUUGAAGGACAGAUUCAACCUUCGCAGAAAGGGAAAUGUAUCCAAAAACUUUGGCAUUUUCCCCGAAAAGUUGUUUUGCGAAAGAUCAAGUUCUUCAAGACCUUUUAAAGAACUAAAGCCUGGAUGGAUUGGGCCACGAAAAAAAUUAUCGCUCAAAUUUAGAUACUCCAGGCCAACACAACUUGCAAGUGAGCUUGGAAUUUCACCUGAUAACUUAUUCUCCGAUAAAUCUAAUUGUCGAACAUUUUUCAGAUUUCCAACUUCCGAUGGUAUACGACCAGUGAAAUGAUUGUGCGACAAAUCCAACCAUCCUGAUAAGGAGGAUACGCCAAUAACUUCACUGGGUAUAGCCCCAGAAAGAUUAUUAUCUGACAGAUCUAAUUUCUGCAGUUGAUGACAAGUUCCUAGAGCUGAAGGUAAGCUUCCUCGUAUGGAAUUUCUAUGUAAAUCAAGUUCUGUCAGGAAAGUUAAAUUCCCAAAAGAUGAAGGAAUUUCUCCGGAAAUAUUGUUUCCAAACAAGGACAAUAGUUGUAGCUUGGGAAGAGAUCCAACAGAAAUUGGAAUGCUUCCUGCGAGGAGGCACACCUCAAUGGCUAUUAAUAUCAAAUUUUUCAGGUUACCAAUUCCCGUUGGGAUGGAACCAGAUAUCGGAUUAGCUGACAUAUAUAAAUAGCUAAGAUGGGAUGAAAAAUUAGCAAUUGAAUUUGGCAAUAUCCCUCUUAGAUUAUUUUUGCUCAGGCUGACUACUUCUAAGUAAGUGCAAUUGACCAAAGAAUCUAGAAAUCUAAGGUCAUUACCCUUUCUGGUUCCAAGAUUAUUUCUUGCAAAAUUGAGCCUAGUCAGAUUCCUUAAUCUACCCAAAUCUUCUGGUAUCGAGCCCGUCAAAGAGUUAUUUGCAAAAUCUAGCCACUCAAGCUUACUUGCAUUAGAUAUAGAAUGGGGUAUAUUCCCAAAAAACUGAUUACCUGCCAAUAAAAGUAUACGGAUAUUAGGAAGUGUGAAGCCGAUGUAAGGUGGAAUUUCACCAAAAAGUUGGUUUUCUGACGCGGCAAAGUAAUCCAUUGGAGUGAUAUUAAAAAGCUGGAUGGGAAUUGAACCUGUUAAGGAAUUUACAGAGACUUGGAACAUGUUUAGGUGCUUCAAUUGGCCUAGCUCAACAGGAAUGUUGCCAUUAAGACUGUUUUCUGAAAGAGAAAGCUGUUGAAGAAAUGAGAGAUUUGAAAGGGACUGAGGAACAGGCCCAGUGAGAUAGUUACUAGCAAGUCCAAGUCCUUUUAACUUGAACAAACUGCCCAAUUCAGAAGGUAUUUUACCUUCGAGCUUGUUCACGACUAAGUCGAGAAUCCUGAGCUCAGAACAAUGAGUGAGAUUGACAGGAAUCUCUCCUUGUAACAUAUUACGAUUGAAUAUGAUUGAUCGUAGCCGAAACAAGCGGCCUAUUUCAUGUGGGAUCAUUCCCGAGAAGCUAUUUUGUUGAAGAUUGAUAAGCCUAAGGAAUGUCAAGUUCCCGAUGUAAGGAGAAAGUGUACCUGUCAGAUUUUGGCCACUGAGAUUCAAUGAUAUGACUCUUUGAUGUUUGAGACUGCAAGUAACUCCAAGCCACAGGCAAAAGUUGACGGAAUCAUUCCACGUACUCAAUGCUCCAAAUGGAUCAGCUACCUUGCUUUUGAAAGCAAGCAAAGCUUGUUUAUCAGUUUCAGUUCCAAGAUUGGCACAGUGGGAAAAAGAGAAAUGAAAUAAGAAACUUAGAAGGAUGAAAAGGAAGAAAAACAAGAGUGCUAUUACAGGGGAAGUUUUAGUGUCCCUCAUUUAUAAAGCGAAUUUUAACAAGUAUUCAGCGUUUGGUGCAAUGAUCUGCCUCAGUGCCUGGUAAUUUUAUAAAGCUAUGAGUAAGUGGGAAGGAAGUUGCUGGGAAGAUCUUAUAUCAAUAGUAAAUGAUUCUUGCUUUAUUUCUUUCGUACGAAGCUUGGAGACAAAGAGGCCUUAUUUUCUUGAUAAUGAGCACUUGGGUCCCUUUCAAGCUUCGUCCUUUUUCACACUAAUUCAAGAUUCCAUCCAACCUAACAACAGUUGGUUCAAUCGACAUAUAUAUUAUUAAGUGCGAUUCAAAUAACCCGUUACAUAAAAUAGUCACGCAAUUUAUUGUCAUCUUAUCAAAGAAAAGAUACAGACAUAUAGUCUUGGUAUUCUAGAAGCGGUGAAGCACAGUCCCUUUUUGGUCAAUCCUUUAUUAUGUUUGUAUGAAUUUUUUUAUGAUUAAUUAAAAGAACAUAUAUGACAAUAAAUGAGUAAAAAAUGAACAAAUAAAGCAAUUGAGACUAUUGAGAUCUUUCACAGCUUAGGUAAAUAAGAAAAUUACAAUAUACCCUUCUGAAAAAAUAAAAAAUAAAGCUAUCUAAAUCCACAAAACAUUUAAAUUUGAGAGGAGAGAAUUCAAAGCUUAGAAAUAAUCUGCUCGCACUAGACAAAAAUUUCCACCAACCAAAUGAAUGACUAGAGGGUAGUUCUUUCUGUCGGCGGAAAACGCGUUCUAAGCCUCUUGUUUAUUUAGGGUACUUUCAAACUUUUAUAUUGAAAUUUCGUGCAAGCACUCUACAUUCAAACUUCCAUAAUCGGAUUUUGAAAUUUCGUUUCAAGCAUUGGUUAAUUAUUUAUUGCAUGUUUUCAUAAGUAAAAUGCUCGAUAAAUUAAAAUUUCUAUUAAAUAAUAGGAUUUGUCGAUCCAUACUUGUGAAAUUAUAAUUUGAUUACUUGACAUUCGCUUAAUUAAUAAUUUUUUCUUGAUUCCAAUAUCGUUAAUUUAUCAACGUUUUAUUAUAAUAAUAUCAUGUAAGUAUGUCUUAUAUUGUACUCGAUAAUUUAAGUAGCUAGAUUUACACAAACUUAUUUUAACAGCUUAAUUUGUUUGCUUCUUAUAUUAAAAGCAAGGGUUUAAGGACUCAAGUAUAAAAGAGGAGUAGGGUAAUGUAACCAAAAAGUAAUAAAAAUAAGACACUAACACUUAUUUUCUCUCCAAUUAUAGAGUAAUGUUACACAUUCCAAAUUUUUUAUCCCAAAAAAUUAUCUCAAAUGAUGUGGCAUUCGUUAAUUAAUUGGUAAGAUAAGACAUUUAAUCACUUAGAUUUUGUAAAGAAUUAUUAAAUACUCAAUUAAUAACACAUCAUUUGCGAUAAAUUUUAGGAUAAAAAUUUUGAAAUAUCUAUCAUUACUCUGCAUUAUAAUCUCUUUCUUUCUCUAUUACUGUAGCAACUAAAUUGAAACAUUUUAGAAUCAACAUCUGACAAGUUUAAUUAAAGGGCUUUAUGUGUUAAAAAAAAAUUAAAGAGUUUAAUGAUGAUGAUGAUGAUUAUUAUUAUUAUUAUUUAAUAUUAUUAUUAAGAAGAAGAAGGUCCAAUGUGAUGUGUGUAGCAAAAACGGAGCCUCGGUGUUUUGCACAUCCAAUAAACAGCUCUUUGUGACACGUAUCCCCACCAUGUUCACCACGCCAACAAGCUCGCCUCCAAUGCUUCUCUCUUUUUCAUCCUUCCCCUAAGCGAUUUGCCGACUUUCAUGUCUUAAUUUAUUUUGAUGAGAAAAUAAUUCUCUUUCUAAUUUUUUGGCGUACGUCCCCUAAUUCAUUAAAAUGAAGUGUUAAUUUUCAGAAAAGAAAAGAAUUUCUUGACAAAGAAAGAAGUGAUUUACUGGAAAGAGAUUGAAUUAGAACAGGUUUGGCAGUAUAUAAGUGUCUUUUUAAAUUUAUGAAGUCCCUUAAUCAGCUAAUUGGGGUUUUUCUAGUAGAGGGAUUUUAUCAAAACCCUUCGGACUUCUAAUUUGACCCGAUGGAAGGGCCUGGGCUUAAUUGACAGGUUGAAUUUUGGGCUUUCCUGAUUAUCCAAAAGACUGGAACUUUUAACAGCCCGUUGAAAUUCUUAUAACACCCAUUUUGAAUUUUAUUUCCCAAAAUACCUCGUUUUAAUUUAUAAAAUAUUAAUGCAUGUAUUAAAAUUAACAAUCUUCCUAUAAAAUUUCACAAAAAUGAAUAUUUUUCUUAAUUUUCUAUUUAUAAAAUAAAUGAAAAUCCUAAAACCUUAAAUUAUUUUCUUCUCAUUAAUUGUUUCUAUUUCUAUAACUGUAAACUCUUAUAAUAUAUCAAAAUUUUGUAUUAAAAUUAAAAUAUAACAUAAUUAAUUAUGAAAUGAAUUAGGUAUAAAAAUUUUGUUAAAAUAAUAAAUUAUUUAAGUGUUUAAUUGAAUUUCCAUUCAAAAAAUAAGAAAUGAAUUAAAUUAUCUUUAAUUUUAGCAUUUUCAAUUAAAAAGUAGUUUUAUAAGAAUUUUUGAAGGGUAUCCAAAGGCCUAGUCUAUCCAAAAAAGAUUAAUUUUUAACAACGUUGCUUUGUUUUAAAAAAAAAAAAAAAUUGACCCUCAAUUCUCAUUAGCCUAAAUUUCUCAAUUAUCUUCACCAAAUUCUUUUUGAAAAAAAUUUCCUAAAUACACCUUAUAUAAUCCUCAAUGUAUCCUUAUUAUCGUUUUUAUUCCUUUUUAAUAUGAUUAUAAAUUUUAUUUUGAAAAGAUUGACACGGUCAAAUAUUACUAAUUGUUAAGUGAGAAUAAAUUUUCAAUUAAAUUUAAUUGUUAUAUACUUAAAAAGUUAGAAUACAAAAUUUGUAUCCCAAAUAACGUGUCAUCUAAUUAAAUACCAAUGAUUACCAAGUGUUUGGUAAUAAUUAAUUUUUUAUAUCAUCACUAACGAGAUGAUUUCAUAGCACUAAUGAAUGACCAACAUUUCUUAUCUUCAUCAUUUGCAAUAUGAAUAUCAUAUCCCGAUUUUGUAAGCAUGUGAUUCCUCCUGAAGCAAGGUUUAAUUAUUAAACAAAAACGUGAAAGAAAAACAUUGGGGACUAUUAUAUGUUUUUUUGUAUUUACUUUCCCUUUCAUCGUCUUAUUUGUUAAUGUCGAAACACGGCCGGUAAGAAAUCAUCAAUGGAGUUAAAUAAACGAAAUUUAGUAAUUUUCUUCCCAAAUUAAUGAACUCUCAAAAAAAAAAACACUAUAGCUCGAAUAUGAAUUCUGAAUAAAAUAUCUGAAUAUGAAAUCUGAAACAAGCAAUGGGAGUUGGCAGCCACUGGAUAAGUUACAUGAUCCGUAACUUAGCCAACUCCUAAAAUAUCUUACUUAACGUCAAUUGGACUUAAUUCUGGUCCCAGAAUAUUUAACUGCCCAGUUUAAUGUCAACGAAAUAAAUCAAGUAGUUGGACAGAUAGAUAAUAACAAUGGUCCCAGAACAUUUAAUGACUCAAGUAUUAUUUUUGCCCUUUAUUAGUCUAAAAGGACAAAUUGCUCCAAUUUGCAUUGCCUUUCGAAUCACUUUAUUCCAGAAAGUGAAUCCAUGGAGCAUCGGGUUUUGAACUUCAAAUGGUUUGUCCUCGUUCAUGUUUGACGGCUAGCUCCAAGCUUAGAAUCAGCAACCAUUGAAGCGGACAAGCUUGCUUUACUUGACUUCAAGAAUCAUAUAACUCAAGAUCCUCUGCAAAUCAUGAGCUCAUGGAAUGAUUCUGUCCAUUUCUGCAACUGGGUUGGUGUUACGUGCAGUCCCUCUAAUGGAAGAGUCACAUUCUUAAAGCUGGAAUCAAAACAGUUGGUUGGCCCAAUUCCUGCUUCUAUAGGAAACCUUACAUAUCUUACAGGGAUCAACCUAUUCCAGAACAGCUUUCAUGGCCAAAUUCCUGAAGAAAUAGGACGUCUACAGCAGCUGCAGGAUCUCAAUUUAACUCACAAUUACCUUAGUGGGAAAAUUCCAACAAAUUUAUCUCACUGUACAGAACUUAGAUCAUUUGAAGCUAGUGCCAACGAUUUCAUUGGCCAGAUUCCCGACCAGCUUAGUUCAUUAACAAAACUAGAAAUCAUCGGCCUUGGAACCAGCAAUCUUACAGGAAAUAUCCCAGCUUGGAUAGGCAAUUUUUCUUCUCUGCAAGUUCUGUUGCUGUCUAGGAAUAAUUUACAUGGGAGCAUACCAAAUGAACUUGGCCAGCUUUCAGGCCUGGGAUUUUUCACAUUUUAUGGGAAUUUUAUAUCUGGUAUCAUUCCUUCUUCCAUUUAUAAUAUCUUAUCUAUCUACUAUUUCUCUGUGACUCAAAACCAGCUGCAUGGGCAGCUGCCUGCAGAUGUUGGCCUCACCCUUCCUAAUCUGAAAAUAUUUGCUGGUGGUGUUAACUAUUUCACAGGAAGUAUUCCUGUGUCAUUGUCAAUUGCUUCUAAUCUUCAGGUUCUUGAUUUUGCUGAAAAUGGUCUCACUGGGAGUAUUCCUGAAAACUUUGGGAGCUUGAAAGAUCUAGUUAGACUAAACUUUGAUGAAAAUGAACUUGGAAGCAGAGAAAUAGGUGACUUGCAUUUUCUCAAAUUCUUGGCUAAUUGUACUAGUCUUGAAGUGUUAGGUCUUGCCCAAAAUGGUUUUGGGGGAGAGAUGCCGAUCUCCAUUGCAAACCUUUCAGCCCAUUUGCGAAUUCUCACAAUGGGGGAUAAUCUGAUGCAUGGAAACAUCCCUGUUGGGAUCGGAAACCUUGUUAACUUGAGCCUUCUUGGAUUAGAAGGUAACAACUUAAGUGGUAGUGUUCCUGAAGUUAUAGGGAGGCUCAACAAAUUAGAAGGAUUGGAGUUGAAUGGUAACAAGUUUUCAGGAUUAAUCCCAUCUUCCCUUGGUAACUUAACUAUACUGAUUAGGCUUUUGAUGGAGGAGAAUAGAUUUGAAGGAAUCAUCCCUCCAAGUCUUGGAAACUGCCAGAAGUUGCAGGUGCUGAACUUAUAGUAAUAAUCUCAAUGGCACCAUACCCAAAGAAGUUGUCGGCCUCUCUUCUCUUUCAAUUUCUUUGGUCGUGUCUCAUAAUUCUUUGACUGGUUCACUCCCACCGGAAGUGGGCAAGUUGACAAAUCUUGCGGAAUUGGACGUGACAUACAACAAGUUAUCAGGUGAAAUUCCAAGCAGCCUUGAUAGUUGUAUUAGUUUGGAGCGUCUGUAUCUGGGGAAUAACUCAUUUAAAGGGACAAUUCCUGUAUCCUUAAAAAGCUUAAGAGGUUUAGCUGAAUUAGAUCUUUCAUGUAACAACUUGUCUGGCAAGGUUCCUGGAUUUUUCGGCAAGCUUUUAUCUCUCAGGCAUCUUAAUCUCUCUUACAACGAUCUGGAUGGUGAAAUAUCCAGGGAAGGGAUCUUUGCAAAUGCAAGUGCUGUUUCCAUUGUCGGGAAUGAUAAGCUCUGUGGUGGCAUCCAAGAACUACAUUUAUCUGAAUGCUCCAGAAAAAAUCCCAGGAAACAUCUACCCGUAGGAGUAGUAAUCCCCGUAACUAUUGCGGUCAUAAGUGUUAUUGUUUUCUUGACUUCAUUGGUUAUUUAUUGUAUGGUAAAACCCUCAAGGAGACAAUCCCCUCCUCCUCCUCCUCAUGAGCGGCAAUCAGGCAUUUCUUACUCAGAUAUUUCCAAAUCAACUGAUAAUUUCUCAAAAGAAAAUUUGAUUGGUACUGGCAGUUUUGGUUCUGUAUACAAAGGAACUCUUGGUGACAGAACAAUUGUUGCGAUUAAGGUUCUAAAACUUCAACAGCAAGGAGUUGUAAAGAGCUUCGUUGAUGAAUGCAAUGCUCUGAAAAGUACACAACAUCGUAACAUUCUCAGGGUCAUAACUGCUUGCUCGAGUGUUGAUUUUGAAGGGAAUAAACAGUAACAAUCUCCGUGUCAUUUAUUUUUUAUAUUUUAUUGUGUUUUUAAAAAAUUAAUAUUUUUUAUCCUGAUAAACAGUAAUCAUAAACAGUAAUUAUGAACAGUUGUGGUAAACAAUAAUGUUUGAGGGAAAUACUCCGACGAGAACAGACGUGAUGAGCAGAUGUUUGGUGGCAGAAGUCUGCGAGUAGGUGUGUCCUGUAAGAGCCAGGUAGCAGGGAAACAGGGGCAGGAAUAUCCUGCUCAUCCACGAGCACGUCAUCCGCGAGGCCAAUUUCCUGUAAGAAGCAUAAAGCCAUUUCUUCUGUAUUCUUGCUAAAGGUUAAUUCGAGGAGACCCGGUCAACGACAGUUGGCGAGGCAUGCUCUCCAGCCCGAGAAUCUAGGCAUGAAGGCCACACAACCACCCACGACUACGGAAAUGGGGAAUCCACGUUCAAGAGGUGGGAGGAUAACAGACGUAGACUGUGGAAAACUGGGAUUCAGAGGAAGCCUAUAAAAAGGUAGCCAACGAAGGUAAAAGGGUUAGCAAUUUUGAUUCUAAAAGAGAGAAAACAACCUAACAGCUAUAAGAUUUGUGGCAAGCGUUCCCCGAACCUUCAUAUCUGACUUGAGCAUCGGAGGGUUUGCGCCGAGAAAACAACCGGCGUACUCUGACCUGUCUGUGUACGCAGGAACCUCUGGAGAAGAAGCUUUACGAGGAGAGAUCCUGGUCGUAGUGAAGUUGAUCGAGCAGAGACCCUGGUCGUAGAACGAGGACAACCAGAAUCUCGCAUAAACAUUUUGGCGCCGUCUGUGGGAAGCUGAGCAAAAAGCUUCUGUUGAUAGCAAGAAGAGAAGGGAAGCAGCUGAAAAGCAAUGGAGACAGGAGGAAGUAAUACACAAGGGGGUGAUAUGAGGCUUAACGAUUCCGUAACGCUGAGGGAGAUAGCCAGUGAAGCACGGGAAAAAGCCAUGUUCGACUGGAUGGAAUGGAUGGAAAAGCAGAUGGAGACCUUGACAACCAUCCUGCAUGAGCUGCGAAGCGAACGAAGGGUAACCCAGGAAGAAAGAGUGAGAGGUGAUGGAGUGGCACCAGGUCCUGAUAAUACGAGGAGAAGUCAGACCAUCGGGAGAUUUGGUGAGGAAAGAGGUAACAUACCCCAGCGGGGAGAAUUCCAUAGAGAGGAAGAGCAGUCCCCGGCAAGACAGAUUUUUGACGAGGACGAUGGGGUGGCGAACGCAAAGGAAACAGUGCUGAGGCAACAUUUACAUGAUGUAGAGCAAGAGCGGGAUCAAGUUGCAGCACAUGACCCUGGUCGUGCAGUGCAGCUGGAGGAGGAAGUACGCAGACUAGCGCAGAUAAUUGACGACAUGCAAGGGAGGAGCAGAGCUCCUGGUUGGAGGAUAAUGCUGGACGGAGAAUCACCGCUCGCAGCAGAGAUCAUGAGGGCAGUUAUUCCGAGAGAUUUCCGCCUCCCAGACCUUAGAUAUUCGGGAAGAACUGAUCCGCUGGUACACAUAGAGCGCUUCAACGACAUAACUGGGGUACAAGGAUUAUCUCAAUCCCAAAGGUGCAGGGUGUUCCCACUAUCCCUUGAGGGACGUGCACGAGAGUGGUACAGGAAAUUUCCUCGGGGAAACAUUAAAACCUUCGAGCAGAUGUGCCAGGAAUUUGCGGAGCAGUUUAGUGGGGCAAUGGCACCAGAAGAUGACAUGAUGGAGCUGAAAAGCAUGAAACAUGGAGAGCAAGAAACCCUUCGGGAAUUCAUCAAGAGGUUUCAUCGUGCUGUCCUCGACUUGGGAGCCUUCAACCACCCUCAGGCGUUAAGGGGAUUGAAAGAAGGGGUGAAGAUAGGAAGGUUGUAGUACAACUUAAGAAGCCCAGUUAUUCAGACGUAUGCGGCCGCAUACGAGCAGGCUAAGAGAGACAUUGAGAUUGAAGAGGAGAAGGCCGCACGGAUUAAAACAGACCAGUUAGAAGGGUUGGGGAGGAAAGAGAAGAGAGCAUUACCAGGGAAUGGGCCGAUCAGGAGGAGGGACCACCAGACCUCGGGUAGUGGAGCAGGAGGUCGGGUAACUGCUUACCAGCCCCAGCAGAGGCCACCACAGUAUCAGCGCAGCAGGGCGCAAUCUCCUCGUUCCCCAGCUAGGGAGCCUUGGAGAAGGCAUGAUUCGGCAUAUGGUGGUCUUCAUCAACAUUCUCACGGUAGCAGAGGGAGCAGACCAGAAGUACUGCCAACGCCCCCAACUCAGAACGGAGCAAACAGAGAAAGAGCAGUGCACCUGAUCGACCAGAACUAGGACUAUGGGCGGUAUACUUCCUUGAAGAUAUCCCUGGAUGAGGUGUAUGAAGCCAUAAAGGAUCGAGGGCUGCUGUGCCUCCCUGCCCCAAUAACAAAGCCAUCCAGCAGGAGGGAUAGGGGACGCUAUUGUAAGUUCCAUGGCACUCAUGGCCACACCACAGCAGAUUGCAGGGAUCUCAAGACCCAGGUUGAAGAUUUGGUGAGAAAUCGGUAUCUGGACGAGUUUAUAGAUGUGACAUUCCCAAUGGUAGCAUCAACAAAUGAAUGGGAGCAGAGUGACAGGAAUUUAAGGCGCGAGCAGCCUACAGUAAGGAUGAUAGCUGGGGGCCUAAUAUUGGCUGGAGAUUCCAACAGGUCGAGGAAGAAUUAUGCUAGAUACGCCAUGACCAGCAAAGAGGUAUUCUUCAACACCCCAGCAGUCAAACGUGUAAGAGUUAGGCAAGUGCCAAUCAUGUGGACAGAUGAGGAUGAGGAAAGGAUUUUAUACCCUCACGAGGAUGCUUUGGUCAUCGAGGCCACUGUUGCUAGCAAGAAGUUUGACAGGAUACUGGUUGACACAAGGAGCUCAGUUGACGUAUUGUUUAAGUCAACCCUGGAGGAGAUGGGAAUAGCAGACCGGAAGCUAGAAUAUACCAACACCUCCUUGAAAGGGUUUGGAGGAGGAAAGCUGAUCCCUCUGGGCAUGGUCGAGUUGCCUAUAACAAUUGGGAGCUCCCCGACAGAAAGGACAAUGAUGCUGGACUUUGUGGUGGUAGACGAAGAAAGUCCUUACCAGAUGAUCCUAGGCCAGCCAUUUCUGAGGAUGAGCAAAGCGGUGCUGUCCAAUCAUUAUCUGGCUCUGAAGUACCAGGUGAAUGGGGUAGUUGGAGUGGUACGAGGAGACUAGAGGAUCGCAAGAAGCUGCUACUCCUCGGCAGCAAGGGAAGCAAUGCAGAUAACAUCCCUCGAUACCCGAGUAGAAAACAAGAAGGGCCAUAUAGAGUCAAGCAAAUGGUGGGACCCGGAGCUUACAAGCUGGUUCGUACAGACGGCCACGAGGUGAAACGCCCAUGGAACGCAGCACACCUCCGAAAAUACUUCCAGUAAGACUUGUUCACAUUUUAAAGCAAUUUCUGCUCGUGCUCUUUAUCUUUUAUUUUUAUGUUUUACGUCAAAGCAAGUUCAUGUAAAAUCAAAACCUGCAAUUAAUGGAACGUCGAGGAAUGUCAUUCACUUGAAACUGUGAUAAAUCUUCCAAGGCAUGCAAAGGCUCACCAAGUCUCAAAACCUGUUUUAUGGCGAGAUAGAAGCCAAGCAUGCCAGGAUCUGCUCGACCACGUAAAGGCGAGCAGAAUCCCCAAGCAUCGAAGAAGUCACUAAGGCAUGCAAAGGCUCACCAAGUCUCAAAGCCUGUUUUAUGGCGAGACAGAAGCCAAGCAUGCCAGGAUCUGCUCGACCACGAGAAGGCGAGCAGAAUCCCAAGCAUUGAAGAAUUUACUAAGGCAUGCAAAGGCUCACCAAGUCUCAAAGCCUGUUUAUGGCAAGACCAGAAGCCAAGCGUGCCAGGAUCUGCUCGACCACGAGAAGGCGAGCAGAAUCCCAAGCAUCGAAGAAGUCACUAAGGCAUGCAAAGGCUCACCAAGUCUCAAAGCCUGUUUUAUGGCGAGACAGAAGCCAAGCAUGCCAGGAUCUGCUCGACCACGUGAAGGCGAGCAGAAUCCCCAAGCAUCGAAGAAGUCACUAAGGCAUGCAAAGGCUCACCAAGUCUCAAAGCCUGUUUUAUGGCGAGACAUAAGCCAAGCAUGCCAGGAUCUGCUCGACCACGUGAAGGCGAGCAGAAUCCCCAAGCAUCGAAGAAGUCACUAAGACAUGCAAAGGCUCACCAAGUCUCAAAGCCUGUUUUAUGGCGAGACAGAAGCCAAGCGUGCCAGGAUCUGCUCGACCACGUAAAGGCGAGCAGAAUCCCCGAGCAUCGAAGAAGUCACUAAGACAUGCAAAGGCUCACCAAGUCUCAAAGCCUGUUUUAUGGCGAGACAGAAGCCAAGCAUGCCAGGAUCUGCUCGACCACGAGAAGGCGAGCAGAAUCCCAAGCAUUGAAGAAUUUACUAAGGCAUGCAAAGGCUCACCAAGUCUCAAAGCCUGUUUAUGGCGAGACCAGAAGCCAAGCGUGCCAAGAUCUGCUCGACCACGAGAAGGCGAGCAGAAUCCCAAUUCUUGAAGAAUCAAAGGCAUGCAAAGGCUCAUCAAGUCUCAAAGCCUAUUUUAUGGUGAGACAGAAGCCAAGCGUGCCAGGAUCUGCUCGACCACGAGAAGGCGAGCAGAAUCCCAAUCCUUGAAGAAUUGAAGGCACGCAAAGGCUCGUCAAGUCUAAAAGCCUGUUUAUGGCGAGACCAGAAGUCAAGCAUGCCAGGAUCUGCUCGACCACGAGAAGACGAGCAGAGUCCAAAGCAUUCGAAAAAAUUCCUAAGGCAUGCAAAGGCUCACCAAGUCUUAAAGCCUGUCUUAUGGCGAAACCCGAAGCCAAGCAUGCCAGGAUCUGCUCGACCACGCGAAGGCGAGCAGAAUCCCAAGCAUUGAAGAAUUUUCAAAGGCAUGUGGCAAAACCAUGUGCCAAGCCAGAACUUGCUCGACCAGACAAAGACAAGCAGAUUCUCAAACGAAAAAUAACUCAUGAUUACAACACAAGAAAGUAAUCAAAAACAUCUUUAUUAAUUUGUUAAUAAUUAACAGAGGAGAUAAUCUUCACAAACAUUGUUCAUUACAAUACAAGAAAUAUAUCAAGAAGAUAGUGGAUCAGUAAGCCGAGCAGCAUCGGUUGGCUGGACCUCCUCAGGUGCAGGGGGGUAUCACCAGUUGCGUCCGGGGCGGGUGCUCGCCUCGCCAACAUCAGCAGGUACUGCACGAGGAGGAGAGUUUUCCUCCUCAAUCACGAUCGGCUCUACCCCUUCAGCGUCUUCUUUGGCCGCCUCCUCGUCCAUAUGUUGAGCAACACCAGCUGCAAGGUCAUCUAUCUUCAGAUCAGGGUGUUGCUUCCCGAGAACGGCCAUGAUGCAACGAUAGGAAUGCCGAAGUCCCUGGUUGUACUGGUUGUCAGCCUCCUUCUCUAAGUUCUCGACCCGAACCCGGUGGGAAUCACGGAGAGAUUCGAGCUGAGCCUCAUACAUAGCCUUCUGCCUUUGAAGAUCCUCCUUGACCUUGGUUAGCUCCUCCUCGAGGCAUUUUCCAGUCCCAUGCGACCAAGAACCGCUAAGUUUCUACUGCCGGUCCAUUACAUUACCCAACACCAGAAACUGGGGGACCGGUGUUUGAGGGAAAUACUCCGACGAGACCAGACGUGAUGAGCAGAUGUUUUGUGGCAGAAGUCUGCGAGCAGGUGUGUCCUGUAAGAGCCAGGUAGCAGGGAAACAGGGGCAGGAAUAUCCUGCUCAUCCAUGAGCACGUCAUCCGCGAGGCCAAUUUCCUGUAAGAAGCAUAAAGCCAUUCCUGCUGUAUUCUUGCUAAGGGUUGAUUCGAGGAGACCCGGUCAACGACAGUUGGCGAGGCAUGCUCUCCAGCCCGAGAAUCUAGGCACGAAGGCCACGCAACCACCCACGACUACGGAAAUGGGGAAUCCACGUUCGAGAGGUGGGAGGAUAACGGACGUAGACUGCGGAAAACUGGGAUUCAGAGGAAGCUUAUAAAAAGGUAGCCAACGAAGGUAAAAGGGUUAGCAAUUUUGAUUCUAAAAGAGAGAAAAUAACCUAACAGCCAUAAGAUUUGUGGCAAGCGUUCCCCGAACCUUCAUAUCUGACUUGAGCGUCGGAGGGUUUGCGCCGGGAAAACAACCGGCGUACUCUGACCUGUCUGUGUGCGCAGGAACCUCUGAAGAAGAAGCUUUACGAGGAGAGAUCCUGGUCGUGGUGAAGUUGAUUGAGCAGAGACCCUGGUCAUAGAACGAGGACAACCAGAAUCUCGCAUCAACAAGUAAUAAUAAACAGUAUUUCUGAAAAAAUUAAGUAAUUAAUUUUUAGUUUUUAAUUACCUACAUCUAAUUUUGAUAAAUCUAAAUUCCUUUCAAAUACCACGUUUAAGAAAAGUGCUUUUGACUUUUUGCAGAAUAUUUACGACACUGAUGUCCAUUCGCUCUCUGGGGGAUUCUACUGAACAAGCAACUCCAAUUUUGAGGAUUGCAAUCAAACUCUCUCGUAUUUGACCCUUUUUUAUGUUUUCUUCAGCCGUUUCUUCUCCUUGUUCCCCUCCAACAAGAAAUAGUCGGUCUAAGACUUGUAAUAUUUGAUCUGGCAAUGCCAUUUUAACAAAAUUGUGAAGAUCCAAUCCCUCUGUAAACAUGUCACUGGUGGGUCUUUUCCCUGUAAAAAUCUCCAGCAAGAGUAUCCCGUAGCUGUAUACAUCACCAUUUGUUGAAACCUGACUUCCCAUGCCAUAUUCUGCAACAUUCAAAUUCUAUAGUGCUUACAUUUUGAGUACAAUCACUUCUCACUUGUGCUUCGGCUAAUUUUAGAAACACAAUAAAAUGUUUGAUUAACACUUCGGCUUUACUUCUGAAUUUUUAUGGUUUUAUUCUGCAGCUAUUGACAUUAAAAGUUAAAAAAAGAAAAAAAAAAUCAUAUUACCUGGUGCAGCAUACCCGACAGUUCCUUUCAGUCCAACCGAGCUACAUUGAUUCGAACUUAUGACUUCUGGAAUAAAUCUUGUUAAUCCAAAAUCACCCACAUGUGCAAUCAUGUCAUUGUCGAGAAGAACGUAGCUUGGCUUUAAAUCGCAAUGAACAAUUUGCCUUUUGCAGUGGUGAUGAAGAUAUUCCAAAGCAGAUGCCACGUUAAUGGCAAUGUUCAACCUUUGAAGAAAGCUUAAAAUGCUGGGGCUGUAAUUCAGAUCAUCUGAAGCUGAUUCUGGGUGCAACCAACUCUCUAAACUUCCAUGGUGCAUGAACUCAUAGACUAAAGCUUUGAAAUCAUUGCCUUGAAAAUCGGAACUUGAACAUGCAGUUAUGAUUUUGACAAGAUUACGAUGCCUAAUGUUUCUUAAGGCCUCACAUUCAGCCAUGAAGCUCUUUAAAGCGCCACGUUGAUGUAAGAACAGCACCUUCACCAUAACAACUGUUUGAUCUGGAUCAAGUAUUCCUUUGUAGACUGAGCCGAAGCUUCCAGUACCAAUUAAAUUGGCAGAAGAAAAUCCUCUAGUAGCUUUCAGGAGACUUUCGUAGGAGACAUUUAGAAGCAAAUCCUUUCUUGAUGAAGACUCCGAACUAGUCACUGUUCUUUUCCUUCUCAAUCUAUCGAUAAUUAGAAGGGACAUGACCAAAACUAGCCCCACAAGUCCAGAGAGGAGCGGAAUCAUCAACUUGAACCCGUUUGAUUUCUGCCUUUUCUUUGACUCACUGGGAGUACAUGGAGGCAAUUUAAGUUCUGAGAUACCUCCACAAAGCUUUUCAUUACCAGCUACCGAUAUGGCAGAUGCAUUCUUAAAGAUCCCUUUUCUUGGUACAUCUCCGUCUAGAUUGUUGUAGGACAGAUUCAAACUUUGCAAAAAUGGAAAUGUAUCCAAAAACUUUGGGAUUUUGCCUGAAAAGUUAUUUUGAAAAAGAUCUAGGCCUUCAAGACUUUUCAAAGAACUCAAACCAGGAUGGAUAGGCCCGUGAAAGGAAUUAAUGCUCAAGUUUAGGUACUCCAGGCCAACACAACUUCCAAGUGAGCUUGGAAUUUCGCCUGAUAACUUGUUCUUCGAUAAGUCUAGAUGUGGAAUGCUUUUCAGAUUGCCUGCGGCCAAUGGUAUAGGACCAGUUAAAUGAUUGUGCGACAAGUCCAACCAUCUUGAUAACGAAGAUAGACCAAUAACCUCACUGGGUAUUGCCCCAGAAAGAUUGUUUUUGAGAGAUCUAAACUCUGCAGUUGGUGACAAUUUCCUAGAGCUGAAGGUAUGCUUCCUCGUAUGGAGUUUCCACGUAAAUUGAGUUCGGUCAGGAAAGUGAAAUUCCCAAGUGAUGAAGGAAUUUCUCCAGAAAUAUUGUUUUCAAACAAAGACAGUACUUGUAGUUUCGGAAGAUAUCCAACAGAAAUUGGUAUGCUUCCUGUGAGGAUACAUUUUUCAAUGGCUAUUAUGAUCAAAUUUUUCAGUUCCCAAUUUCUGUUGGGAUGGAACCAUAUAUAGGAUUAGCUGACAUAUAAAUAGCGAAGAUGAGAUGAAAAAUUAGCAAGGGAAUUCGGCAAUAUCCCACUUAGACUAUUUACAUUUAGGCUGACUAUUUCUAGGUAAGUGCAAUUGACCAAAGAAUCUAGAAAUCUAAGGUCAUUAACCUUUCUAGUUCCAAGAUCAUUUCUUGCAAAAUUGAGCCUAGUCAAAUUCCUUAAUCUACCCAAAUCUUCAGGUAUCGAGGCCGUCAAAGAGUUAUUUGCAAAAUCUAGCCACUCAAGCUUACUUGCAUUAGAUAUAGAAUGGGGUAUAUUGCCAAAAAACUGAUUACCUGCCAAUAAAAGUAUACGGAUAUUAGGAAGUGUGAAGCCGAUGUAAGGUGGAAGUUCGCCAACGAGUUGGUUUUCUGACACAGCAAAAUAUUCCAUUGAAGUGAUGUUAAAAAGCUGUAUAGGAAUUGAACCUCUUAAGGAAUGUUGCCAUUAAGACUGUUUUCUGAAAGAGAAAGCUGUUUAAGAAAUGAAAGAUUUGCAAGUGACUGAGGAAUAGGCCCGGUGAGAAGGUAUAUUACCUUCAAGCUUGUUCAAGACUAAGUCGAGAGUCCUGAGUUCUGAACAAUGAGUAAGAUUUACAGGAAUUUGUCCCUGUAACGUAUUACUAUUAAAUAUGAUGUAACGUAGCCUAAACAAGCGGCCUAUUUCGUGUGGGAUAUUGCCAGAGAAAUUGUUUUGUUGAAGGUUGAUAAGCAUAAGGAAUGUCAAGUUUCCUAUGUAAGGAGAAACGGUACCUGUCAGAUUUUGGCCACUGAGAUUCAAUGAUAUAUAUGACUCUUUGAUGUUUGAGGCUGCAAGUAACUCCAAGCCACUGGCAAAAGUUGACAGAAUCAUUCCAUGUACUCAAAGCUCCGAAUGGAUCAUCAUCUACCUUGCUUUUGAAAGCAAUCAAAGCUUGUUUAUCGGUUUCACUUCCAAGAUUGGCACAAUAGGAAAAAGAGAAGUGAAAUGGGAAACUUAGAAGGAUGAAAAGGAAGGAAAACAAGAAUGCUAUUACAGGGGAAGUUCUAGCGUCCCUCAUUUAUCAAUCGAAUUUUAACAAGUAUUCAGUGUUUGGUGUUAGUGCAAUGAUCUGCCUCAGAGCCUCCUAAUUUUAUAAAGCUGUGAGGAAGUGGGAAGGAAGUUGCGGGGAAGAUCUUAUAUCAAUGGUAAACGAUUCUUGCUUUGUCAGAAAUUUGGAAACAGUGAGGCCUUAUUUUCUUUAUCGAUUAUCGAGGGAAAGAACACUUGGAUCCCCCUUUCAAACAUUUUUUUCAAUUUCAAAUUGAACAUUCAUUCAAUUCCAUCAAAAUAAUUACAGUAAGUUCAGUCAAAUUAUAUGUUAUUAAAUAUCACAAUAGAGGUCAAAUAAUCUAUUACAUCAAACAGUCAGUCAAAUUAUUACAAUCUUAUCAAAGAUAUAAAAAGAUAGUCUUUUGAGUGCUCUAAAAGUAUUCGCUUCCUUUCUAUUAAGUUUUUAUCAUGUGUGCAUGACCAUUUCCAUAAUUAUUAAAAAGAUAAACAUGACAUCAAAUGAAUCAAAAUGAAUAAAUAAAUCACUCUAAAAAAACUAAACAUAUCUAAAUCCACAACACAUUUAAAUUUGAGAGGAGAAAAUUCACAUAUAUGAGAAAAUCUGCCCACAGACUAUACAAAAUUUUCCACGAUUUGAAGUUGCAAAAGAAGAGGUGUUGGAGAGAGUAGAGAGUAAACGCGUUCUAAGCGUUUUUUUUAUUUAAGUUAUUUUUCAAACUUUAACGUUGAAAUUUCGCGCAAGCACUAACGUUGCAUUGAAACUUACAUAAUUAAUUAGAAUUAUUGAAUGACACGUUUGCAUUAAUAAAAUAAUAUGUAAAAUCCUUGAUAAAUUUAACACUCUUAUAUUAAAAUUUUGAUUAAAUAAUAGGUUUGUCAAUCACUCUUGAUUUCAACGUGCUGAAUUAUAAUUUGAUCAAUUAAUAUUCGCUUGAUUAAUGAAUUUUUUUUUUUGUCCCAACACUAUUAACAUAUCACGAUUUUAUAGUAAUAGACUAAUAGUAUUACGUUAUAUUGUACCAGUAUAUGUUAAAACCAUGAAUUGCAACAAUUAUUGGUACUGGUAGCAUCAUAUACACGAUUCCAAGGCCGAAAGUCAUCACACAUGCGUCAGUAACGAUUUUGCUCCCCAUAUGCAGUCAACAUGUGCGAAGGCUCCUCAAUUGUCAACUUUGGUGGCUCCGACGAUCUGCCCUACCCAAGCAUCCUAGGCAAACUCCAAACCUCCCUCAUCGCAUGCGAUCAAAACCAACCCACCAGCGAAAGCGUUUUUCCCCGACAAUGACCUUUGGGCCCAGAAAUUCACUUAGGCAGCCCAUUCCCAUAAUUCUCAUAACCCCAAUAUAAGCCCACAUGGCCAAACCACAAACCCAUCAAAUCCAUCAACCCAAAACCAAAAACAUUACCUUACACACUUACUUAGUACCCCUACUAAUUUUACUCAAAAUGACCUUGUUGCCCAAAACAUCACUCAGCCCGUUUCCGUACAAACGCGUUAGUUUUCAAUUCCACUUUAAAUCGGAACUCAAAUGGCCCCCCAAAAAAAGUCUUUUACAUAAAUUAUGAAUGGGCUACCGACGGUUCCUAUUACAACCGUCUCUUCAUUUGAAGGUAAGCAUUUCGUUCAAGGAUCCCUCUAAGUUACAUGCAUGUACCUUACAACCCUCUCACAUGAAUAGUGUUCAUACACUAUUCAUGUGAGAGGGUUGUAAGGUACAUGCAUGUAACUUAGCAUUAGCCUUCGUUCAAUUUUUGUCCACGGAAGUUCAAGUGAUGAUCGUUCCAUUUAAGUUUUCAUUGGUUGGUAAAUUUUCUUAUAACCGACCUCGACUGGAAAUGAUUCGUAAUUUCUUUGCAUCAUUGGGAUUGGAAGAAAAAUCUUAGGUGUCCUUCCUCGACAACUGGCAUGUCUUAAUUCAACUUAAUUUAGAGGAAGAUUACUCUCGUUUAUGGGUAAAGCAGGUGUGGUACGUCUCUAGAAGUACCAUGCAGAUCUUUAAAUAGACCACUGACUUCUUAUGCUCUAAGGAAUCUCUCAAUAGUUCCGAUAUGGUUUUCUUUCCCUUACUUGCCAAUUUAUUUUAUGCAUUGUAAGGAAGCAUUAUACUUCAUUGCCUCGGCUAUUGGCAAGCCACUUAGAAUAGAUGAGGCCACUGCAUCUCUAACUCAUCCUUCAAUUGCAGGGUGUUAGUCGAAUUAGAUGUAACCCAACCUUCACCUUCGCGAAUCCGGAUCGGUGUGGGCAAUUUUGGAUUUUGGCAGAAUGUUAACUUUGAAAAAAUCCCACCUUAUUAUGCUUCAUACAAGCACCUCAAUCACACUGCUGAGACAUGUUAUGUGACCAACUUGGGACUUCGUCCUCAACAAUCGAACAGGGAAUAACAGAGAGCAACACCCGAAAAAGAGAAUGCGGUCUAGAACCCAAAUGCAGAUCAAACUUCUCGUCCAUUAAUGAAGCCUCUCAUCACCCCAAAAUCUGCCGAUGAAGGGAUUCUAAUUACUAAGGGAUCUCCUACGGCGACCCAAUCCGAUGGUAUGGGCACUAAUGAAGUUGCAACUCCAGAUUACCUGCCUGAGGUCCGGUUUGAGGAUUCAAAUGCCCAUAGAGUUUUCACGAGCACAAAAUUUUUCAGAUCCACCAUGGCAAAUAUCUCACAAAUAGUUGUUGGGUUCAAUUCCUACAACACCGACAUUCAUGUCUCUGAUAAAGACGAUAGUAUUGAUGAGAACCGAGAUAUUCAGCAUGCUAUGGGCUAUAACCCUCAUUUUGAUGAGGUCAUUAGCUCCGAUGACAUCUCGAUAGCUAAUGGACACUUUUCAUCUACACCCAAGGAGCCUGAUCCCGGGCCCAAUUUUAGUGUUGCUGGGUCGCAACAUAAGAAAGGCUUCACUUUUGUCACUCACUGCAAGCAUCACAAGGGGUGGUUAUUCUACGUCCCCAUUCAUAUGUACAUCAUUUUUUAUUAUUCUAUAUAACAAGUAAGGGUCUAUACCUAACCCCCCACCUUACUGUUGGUUUAGUUAAAAAAAUCCUUCAUGGCCCUGAUCUGUAAAUGGACCUUUAUGAGCCUCUAAAAUAUCUUUUAGACCAUGACCAAUUCAAGAUUUUAUAGUAAUAAUAUUACGAUAUAUUAUCUUAGUAUUUGUUGAAACCAUCACAAUUUUCAGGUGCUUGAUGCUUAGGCCUAUUUAAGUAGAUUUACACUAACAUAUUUUUUUUAUAUAUUGAGAAUGAUAAUAAAGGUAUAUUGAGAAUUACUUAGAGCAUAUAGUGAGAAAACUAUUGUCAAUUUGUUACCAGAAACAUCCAAGUGUCUAAUAUUUCUCAAGUUACCAACUUCUGAAGGCAUAAGUCUAAAAAGUUGAUUUUUAGCUAAAUUAAGAAGAAUGGUUAAGGAAGAAAGUUCCACAACUAAUUUGGGUAUGAUUCCUUGAAGAUUAUUUUGAGAAAAGUCUAAGUCAUACAAGUUUUACAAGUUUCCGAAAGCGGAAGGAAUGUUCCCACUCAACUGGUUCUUUUCAAGAUGAAGUGAGUACAAUUAAUUUGUGUUGGCUAUGGAAGAUGGAAUGGGACCUGAAAGUGAAUUUCUUGACAAAUCCAAACGUCGUAGCAUCCUUAGACUACUAAUAACAUUUGGAAUGCUCCAUGUUAAAUUGUGGUUUGCUAUUGUUAAUUCUGUCAAGUUAACAAGGUUUUAUAUUUUAGUAGGGAUACGUCCAUAUAAAUUAUUCCCACCCAAUCUUAAUUGCCUAAGUUGGGUUGAGAGGAUGCCUAGAGAAUAAGGCAAUACUCCUCCAAAUUUGCUAUCACCCAAAUCAAGAAUCUAUAAAUUUCUACAUUUACUCAAGGAAUCCAAGAAGCUUAAGUCAUCAACUUCUCCUUUUUCCAAGGGGUUUGAAGGCCAGAACUAGCCAUCACAGGCCAGGUAAGCCUCCACAAUCAAUUUCAACUUUCCGAGUGAAAUUACUCCCAUUGAUAUCGAAUUCAAUGAGAUUUCAAGCAUUGGAUAGUGAUUUUGGAAGGGGUCCAGUGAACAUGUUAUGACCAAUAUUCAAGACUUGCAUAUUAGAAAGAGUAAAGCCCAAGUUUGUUGGCAAAUUCCCAUGCAGUUGGUUAUAAGCCAAAGUGGGGACUAGAAGGGAUAAAAGAUUAUAAAAUGAGUUAGGAAUUUUACCAAGCAAUCUAUUUAGGCCAAGACCAAGUAAAAUUAAAGUCUUUAACCGUCCUAGAGCUUCCGGCAUGCUUCCCUCAAAAUUGUUAACUGACAUGGACAAUGAUCGAACAAAAAAAAGAUUGCCCAAAGAAUCUAGGAUUGGGCCACUAAGAUUGUUGUAGUGGAGCUGAACCCGCUCAAGCUUUUGCAAUAAGGCAAACUAAUGUUGGGUUAUUUUUGUUGCUAUAGGUGUUAAUGUGUAAGUUUACACAACAAGUAAUAUAUUGAGUAUUCAGAUUGUCUCCACAGGGAUUGAUGUUACUAGAUUUGCUACAACAAUCUUAACAGUGCAGUUUUAUUCUAAAUUAAAAUCAGACAAUUAAUGAAACUAAUAAACUAACUAAAAUGAACACGCAAUAAAUAAAAACUUAAUAAGGAAAAUUCUCAUGUCAAGUACAAUGAAAAAUCCAAUGGAAAUGGAGUAGUUGAGUGAUUAAACUCAUUUAAUGGUGUUGCUAUUUUUCUAAUUAAGAAUUUGCUGUUACAUCAUCUACUAUCUUACUAGGCAGAAUCCCUUAUGCAUCCUUAGAUGUCGCUUGUUAGAUAUCUUAUAUCUAAAUGUAAUCUAACAGUAACCAAUUGUUACGCUAAUAUUAGAUAUAACAUUAAACAUUCUAGGUUUCACUUGCCCUACAAGGUGAGUCUCUAUGUCUAGUUCUUCACUAAUUUUAGAUCAAAUAUGGCCCUAAUCAGAUUGAGAUUUACUCAACUUGGAAAAUCCAAUCUAAAACCAAGUAUUGUCUUUAUUUGUUCCACUAAGUCAAACCUUUUUUAGGCUCUUUAUUAGCUAGUAUCCAUUAAAUAGAUGAUCAUUUGAAAUAAGGAAUUAUAUUUAAUAUAAUUAAGACAAAAUGGUUUAGCAAAUACAGAGCUACACACAUAUAUCAGUUAAACAUCCACUAAGAUUAUUUAUCACUCAACCACAAUAAAAUUCAGUUCAUGAUUUACAAUAGAACAGUAGAUAAAACUAUUUUUGCCAUCAAAUACAUUCUCAUAAAUAAAUAGAAAAUAAGAAAAUAAGAUAAAGAGUUGAAGUCCGAUUAAUCUUGUGAUCUCUGCUUUUUAUUCUCUGUAAAUCCUCUAUUGCGGCCCUGAAAUCUCCCUUAUUUUCUGUUUUUCUUUGUUGUUUUUCCUUGAAUGACGACUCUCUCCCCUCUUUUUUUUUUUCUUUUCAUGCAUGCUCCUUUAAUAAUUUAGAAUUAAGGCAACUGAAAGUGUGUGGCAUGUAUCCUCCCUUUUUGGAAACUUCAGAUCGCAAUCUUUUAGUUAUUGCGCACAAAAUCUAGUCUGUCAUUACUCCAAGAUUGUUGCAGCAACGACUACAGCAUCUUCACUAUUCCAAACUUGUUUUGACUCUUCUGUAGCCAAGUUAUUGUGUCAUCUCUGAAAGUCUGUUGUAGCAGCAUUCCAUCCCCCGAUCACUUACAAUCAUGCACAUAAUAUAAGCACACAAUUAUCUAAAACAACUCAAUUUAUUGAAAAUAAACUAAAAUGGAUGCUUAUGCCAAAUGUAACUAAAAUGCAAUAAAAACACAUCAUUUACUCUCUAAGUAUUAUUGAUUUAAAUAUAACAGUGUCAUGAUAACUCUCAUUUCAUCGAGUUAUCAACUGACCAUGGAUUUUGCCAACCAAGUGGCUGAAGCCUAGCCAAAAUAUAACAAGGCUAGAGUAGCCAGAGAGAUUGGCCAAAGUUCUCCAAGAAAUGAGUUAUUGGAAAAGUUAAGAUACUUGAGCCUCAAUAAACAGCCUAAUUCUGGUGGAAGUUCACCUUGUAAGUAGGUUUUUUCAAGACUUGUACCUCUAAGGAAAGUAAGGUUUCCAAUGUGAGGAGAGAGUGAACCCACUAACUCAUGGUAGCUUAAGUUCAAUGUGAUCACUUUUUGAUGAAGUUGGCCACAAAUGACACAUUUCCAAUUGCAGAAAUGGACUGAAUCAUUCCAUGAGCUCAUUAAACCAAGUGGAUCAUCAGUUAUCUGAGCUUUGAUGGCAAGUAAGGCAAGUCUAUCGGUCUUGUUUCCUCGCAAACUUGAACUUGGUGCUGCAAGAGUAAAGGAUGGUGCAAAAAGAAUGGCGAUAAACAAUAAAAAGGAAUGCAGGAUUGAAGUCUUGCUUAGAUGAGAAGGUAAUGUCAUGGCUGCUAUGAAAAAACACAAUGGUAUGUAUAGGGAUGGCAAUUAUACCCGCAAACCCGCAAACCCGCCCAAACCCACCCGCCAAAACCCGUCCGUUGCGGGUAAUUUUACCCGUUGCGGACGGGUUUAGUAUUAUAAAUUAAAAUCCGCACAUGGAUGCGGGUGGGUUUGGUAUUAACCUUAUAUCUGGUGGAUACCCGCAUGGAUAUCCACCAAACCCGCAAUAUUUUUUUCAAAUAUUUUUAAUUUAAUUUUAAUCUAAAAAUGUAUAAAGAAAAUAAUGUCAUUAAUUAAAUUACCAAAUUGCCAAAGGCUCAAAAUUGUGUAUAUGUGUAUGUGGCCUAUAUCCUAUUCUAAAGUCAUAAUCUAAAGAAAACAAAAGACAUUUUCCUUCGAAUUAGUAUUUGAAAAUAUUAAUCUUAAUUAUUAUUAUAGGCAUUGUGUUGGAUGGGUGCUUAUGGUGGUGAAUGAAAUGAAUAUCUUCUCUUGGAGCUUGUUUUAAAUGAUAAUAUGAAAUAUAAUUAUUAUUUUUAGAUACUAGUUUGUGUUUUUUAAAUGGAUUUUUAUAAUUUGUACUUAAAUUUGAGAAUUUGUGUUGAAUUGAUGUGGAAAUUUUAAUUUUUCAUUUACAUUAUUUAAAUAUAAAAUUGAGUAUGUUAUAUGGAAUUUGAGGUUAUUAUUAUAAAUUUAUAUAUUAAACAUUUGUGAUUUUAAAUACGGAAACCCGCAAAAAAUCCGCCGGAUACUAUUGCGGGUUUGGUAAUUGUUAAAACCCGCUGCGGGUGGGUUUUUGUAAAAAAAUUAAUACCUGUUGCGGGUUGCGGGUGGAUUUGGUAAUUUAAAUUUUGUGCGGGUUUGGGUUUGGUAAUGGCAAACCCGCUGCGGGUGGUGCCCAUUGCCAUCCCUAGGUAUGUAACAGAGAACAAGUUUUUAAUUGGAAAGUUGGCUGAGUAAAUUUUUUGGGGUGAGAGGGCUUAUAUAAGAACUUUUGUCUGACUGUCGAGAUUUCGUUGGUUUUAUAACUUGACAUACAAGUUUGCCCUUUGGCACCAAAUUUUACACCAUGAAACUUUGUGCUGUGUUGGAUGGCAGGACAAGGGUAAGUUGGUAAUUAUGAACAAAAGAGGAGCAGAACCGUUGUCAUUAAAUGUGAAAGCAUAGACUCAAUUGUACAGCAAGGUCAAUGCCAAUGCCCAUAACUUAUUUCAAGUUAUGGAAGACUGAUGCUGAUGCUGCACACAGUUAUUGGGCAUAGUGUUCUACAAAACUUCAAAACAUGAUUCAUGAGUAACAUCCCACUGUUUUGACUAGGGGUGGGCAUUUUAUCUGAUCCAAUUCGAAAAAAAUCGAGUUAGGAUCGGAUCGGAUGGAGGAUAAUAUCUGACCGGGUGAGUUAUUGCCAACUCGAUCGGGUCGUGAUCGGAUCGGAUCCAAAAACCCGAUCGGGUUGGCUAGAAAAGCAAAAAAAAAAACUCACAGACUACACCCACAAUUUCACACACCACACAACACACGCGUAACACAUACCACACACUCAUUCACAUGGUCACACCACUCUCAGUCCACUCAAACUCAAACCUACAACAGUGAGCAGCCAACACUCUCGUCUCUCUCAAUUCUCAAAUCAACUUCACUGCUUUAGUUCUCAUCUCACUCUCGUCUCUCUCUUAAAUCUCAAGCCUCGUCUCUCUCUCAAGUCUCAACUCUCAAGAUUCAAAAAGAUAAGAAACAAUACAGUGACACACACACACGGGGUUGGACGCACACACACACAUUGGAGAAGAAACUCAAGAAAGCGGCUGUGAUGCCACCAGACGCAGCAAACCCAUUUUGCCCGCAGUCACCACUGCCGACUCCAACCGAAUCUGCUGUUACCGCCUACAUAUCUAUCGCUCCAUGCCUCCAUAUCACCAAGUUCCUACAAGCUCCAUCCGAACCCGGCAAGUGGCAACCCGAACUUGAAUUUCACUUUUGAAAUUUGAAGCUUCCAAUUCCAUGGUGUAUAUGUAUUUGAUUAGUUGUACCGCGUUUCUCUGGAUGGGUAAUAUAUUAUAUAUUAUAUGUUGAAUUGGUAAUUCAUUUGUUUACUAACAAAUGUAUUGUUAAAUUCCCGAUCCGAACCUUAUGUUAUCCAAACCCGAUCCGAACUGAAUUCAACUCGAGAUUUUGACCCGAUCCGAUCCGAAUUAAGUUCAGAUCGGAUCGGAUCGGAUCGGGUUAAGGGUUCGAGUUAAGUUCGGAUGAAAUUUUCAACAACCCGAUUAAUCUGAAAUCCGAUUGGGUUGACCCAAACCCGAAAAUGCCCAACCCUAGUCUUGACUAUUUUCGUGCAUUAAUAUUGUGGGUUGAUAAGGCUAAGUGCUCUUUAAAGUAUAUUUCGAAAUUGUACAUAAUGGACCAAAACAUUUAAAAAGUGGUAAACAUAGGAAUAAUACCUCAAUGUGGCCAAUCAAAGAUUUCAGGUUACAAUAUGCUCGUGCCAGUGGGGUUUUAGUGAUUUAGUUGAGAUGCAUUAACAAUAGAAUAAGCAUUGGCAGAUCAAUGAUGUAACCCUUGGAGUCAAAACUUGUAUCAAUAUCAAGUCAAGAAAAUAGACGAAAAUCUUGCUUUCUUUCUAGAAAUUUGAAGAGUUUGAACUAUUUAAUGUAAAGGGAAAUUGCUUUAAUAUUUAGCACACUAGACUGAAGAUCUACUUGGCUACUUCAACAGCUUGCCAGUACUCAGUAGUCGGUAAUGAAAGAGGAAAAAAAAAGGGGGGGGGGCAAUUAUUACAGGUCACAAACUGUAGUUGCAACUAAACUCUUAUGCCUUUCACAUAUCUUGUAACUAGGAAAUAGAACCGUGCUUCACGCGGCUUUGAAAAUAUCAAAUUAAAAAUAAAAAAUUUGAUGAAAUUCAAAUUUCCUAAGAAAUUGUUCUGAUCUCUUCUCAAAAUGAAGAUUAAACAAGUUAAUUUUGUAUGUUUAUUUCAAUAAUAAUAACUAUCGCACAUAAUAAUAAUAAUAAUAAUAAUAAUAAUAAUAAUAAUAAUAAUUGGCACCUGACGACGCUGAGGCUCAUGAGCAUUCUACAAAAUAUAAGUUUCAAUUGCAUCGAGCCCUCCAUCCUUUGCCUUCUGUAUAAGAUCUGACCACAUCUGCACAAAUACAACGCAUAUAGAAAUAAAUCAUAUCAAAUUUUACAUAUUUAAAGAAUAACAAUGCUGUUGAAUCCAAAAAUAUUGCCCAUAAUUUUUCCUAAACAUGAAAGCGCACCGUUUUGAAUGUGGGAUCAUGUUUGGCUUGUUAGGAAAAAAAAUUAAGAUAAUAUUUUCGCAGCAAAGUAGCUUUUUUUUGGGUUAAAAGAAGAAGAAAAUGUGAAAGUGCAAGUGAUUUGAGAAAUUGUAAAUUAAUUAUUUGCAUACAGUACUUGUGGACUGCUGCGAAAAUAUAAUGAAUUACACCAGAGAAGAUAACUCGUCGUUCUCCAUUAAUUAUAAUGGUAGUUGCAUCACAAUCGACUUGUGUUGCUGAUGAUGACAAGCAAAUGAAACUUAAAUUUAGAAUAAGAAGAAUUAGGCCAUAGUGGCAUUGUUGAGGGAAGAUGAAAGAACCUCUUUUCCUAUGUUAAUUAAUUAAUGUAUUUUAAGCCACUAAAGUUUAAUUGCUAGCAUAAUAAAAUUUGAAGAAGCCAAAAGACACUAAAUAAAAGGUUGUAUAAUUAAAUAUGAGAUUAUGACAUUAAAAUUAGGCCCUUAUGACAUUGUUGAAGGAAGAUGAAAGAGCCUCUCUUCAUAUGUUAAUUAAUUAAUUAAUUUUAAGCUACUAAAGUUUAAUUGCUAGCAUAAUAAAAUAAAUGAAUGUUUCAAAAGAUGUAUAAUUAAUUAUUAUUCAUGGUUACAUAUUGUUAGAUUUCAAUAGAAAGAGGAAGAGACAUUAAAAUUAUUAAAAUUAAACUUAGGCCCUAGUGGCAUUAUUGAGAGAAGAUGAAAGAACCUCUCUUCCUAUGUUAAUUAAUUGAUGUAUUUUAAGCAACUAAAGUUUAAUUGCUAGCAUAAUAAAAUAAAUGAAUGUUUCAAAAGACUUAUAAUUAAUUGUUAUUAAUGGUUACAUAUUGUUGGAUUUAAAUAGAAAGAGGAAGAAAUAAUGAUGCCACAAAUCUUAAAUAUUUAAUAUUUAUAGAGUUUUAAGAAGCCAAAAGGCACUAAACAAAAGAUUGAAUAAUUAAAUAUGGGAUUAUGACAUUAAAAUUGGGCUCUAAUUGCAUUGUUGAGGGAAGAUGAAGGAACCUUCCUUCCUAUAUUAAUUAAUUGAUGUAUUUUAAACCACUAAAAUUUAAUUAUUGGCAUAAUAAAAUAAAUAAAUGUUUCAAGACUUAUAAUUAAUUAUUAUUAAUGGGUACAUAUUGUUGAAUUUAAAUAGAAAGAGGAAAAGGAUAUGUAAUCAUUUACAAUCUAAUAAUUAUUUUCUAUUUUUAAUAUUUUGUAAUGUAAUUAUUUUUUAAUUUCAACCAAUUUAUUAGAUAAUAGAGAAUAUGAGAAAAUGAGAAAUGGUGAUGCCACAUCACCUCUUGUAGUCCCAACUUUAUAUAUAUAUAUAUAUAUAUAUAUAGGAGAAAAUAUAGUUCCAAAGAAUUCCCUCCCAUUUUUUUAGGUAUUGGAGAAUUUUAAAAAGAUGAGGUUGAAGGAAGAUGAGAAGAAACUUUCUUCCUAUAUUAAUUAGGGGAUGUAUUUUAAGGCACUAAAGUUUAAUUGAUAGCAUAAUAAAUUUUGAAGAAGCCAAAAGACACUCAACAAAAGGUUGCAUAAUUAAAUAUGAGAUUAUGGCAUUAAAAUUAGGCCUUAGUGGCAUUGUUGAGGGAAAAUGAAAGAACCUAUCUUCCUAUGUUAAUUAAUUCAUGUAUUUUAAGCCACUAAAGUUUAAUUGCUAGCAUAAACAAAUAAAUAAAUAUUUGAAAAGACUUAUAAUUAAUUAUUAUUAAUGAUUACAUAUUGUUGAAUUUAAAUAGAAAGAGAAAAAAAAGUACAAAGAAUAUCCACCAAUAUUUUAGAUAUUUUAGAUAAUAGAAAAUAUAAAAAGAUGAGGAAUGAUAUAUAUUAAUAAAGUUACUAUUUAUUAAAUGAGUUAAAUGCAAUCAAAUUAAUUAUGAGAAGAUGAAAAGCCAAAUCUUUAAAAAAAAAAAUCUAUUUAUUAGAUAAUAGAGAAUAUACAAAGAAGCAAAAUGGUGAUGCCACAUCACCUCCUCAAGUCCUAGCUUUAUAAAUGAAAAAACCUUUCUUCCUAUGUUAAUUAAUUCAUGUAUUUUAAGCCACUAAAGUUUAAUUGCUAGUAUAAUAAAAUAAAUAAAUGUUUCAAAAGACUUAUAAUUAAUUAUUAUUAAUGAUUACAUAUUGUUGAAUUUAAAUAGAAAGAGAAAAAAAAGUACAAAGAAUAUCCACCAAUAUUUUAGAUAUUUUAGAUAAUAGAAAAUAUAAAAAGAUGAGGAAUGAUAUAUAUUAAUAAAAGUUACUAUUUAUUAAAUGAGUUAAAUACAAUCAAAUUAAUUAUGAGAAGAUGUAAAGUCAAAUCUAAAAAAAAAAUUCUCUAUUUAUUAGAUAAUAGAGAAUAUACAAAGAAGCAAAAUGAUGAUGCCACAUCACCUCCUCAAGUCAUAGCUUUAUAUAUAUAUAUAUUAUUAAUGAUUGCAUAUUGUUUAAUUUAAAUAGAAAGAGAAAAAAAAUACAAAGAAUAUCCACCAAUAUUUUAGAUAAUAGAAAAUAUAAAAAGAUGAGGAAUGAUAUAUUUUAAUAAAGUUACUAUUUAUUAAAUGAGUUAAAUACAAUCAAAUUAAUUAUGAGAAAAUGAAAAGUUAAAUCUAAAAAAAAUUAUCUAUUUAUUAAAUAAUAGAGAAUUUACAAAGAAGCAAAAUGGUGAUGCCACGUCACCUCCUCAAGUCACAGCUUUAUAUAUAUAUAUAUAGAUAGAUAGUUUGCUAUGAAUCCUGAAUGAUGUAGAUUAGACCCCACCCACUUGUUAGUGUUGUAUAUGCUUCCACUAAUAAAUUUUGCAAACUCAGUAACAAGAAUGUUUGGCAAAUAAUUAAUCCCAUAAUAAAAUAGUUAUCAUUAAAAUAUCCUCUAAAUUAUUAAAAAUUAUAAUUUAUCCCUAAUUAUUGUCAAGAAAAAAAGUUUAAUCAACAAACCCUCCUUUACCUUUAUUUUUUGAACAACAACUAGGGGUAAGUUAAAGUUUGCAAUAAUUUAAAAGCACUUUAAAAAUAGUCAAUUUAUUAAAAGAAUAGACUAAAUUAAUUUAAUAUAUUUUUUAAAAAUUAUCAAUUAUCCUCCCAAAAUUAGGUUGUGUUAAAAAUACUGAAAAAAUUUGAAUUUGUUUGAUUAUUCACCAUAAAUUUACAGCUUGUAUCAGUCAUUCAUUAGAAAAAUACAAUUAUCCUUACAAAAAGACCACCAUUAUCAUUUAUAUUUAUUCCUCUUUUGUCAUUUUAUAAUGAUAAUUUUAUCUUUUUAUGGACUAACAGAAAUUGCAAAGCUAGUGUUAAAAAUUGGACAAAUUAAAAAAAUUUCAGUAUUUUUAAAUACGGAGUACAAGUAAAUAAAUGACAGAUAAUUCCCAUAUAUUUUAUACUCCCAAAAUCUUUUUUUUCCCCCUUCUUUGACUUUCUUUCUUUCUUUCUAUACUCCAUAGGGAUUUAGUGCAAUAUUAAUUAACAAUAGUAUCUGCAUAUCAAUGAUAUCAUGAACCUCGUCGAAGUCAAUGAUAAAAGUUCUAAUCUUUUGGGCAUUGUGGAGAUUUCUAAUCUUUUGGCAUAAAAGUAAAUAAUAUAAUCGAUUUUAGGUUAAACAUAUAAAUACGAGAUAGUCCUUAAUUUUUAAUUUAUUCUUAAAUGAAUGAGGUUCUCUUAACUUAAUUUUUUUUUUAUACUUGAAAAGGUAAAUAAAUACUUGACCUAAGUUAGGCCAUAUGCUUCUGUAGAUAUGAGUUAUCAAAGAAUUUAAACGAGACAAACCAAUUAAUUGGUCACACCCUUGGGGUCAAAUUUUCUAUGAUCAUCAAGGCCUUGCCCUGCUUCAUUUCUAGAAAUUGAGAAAAUUGAACCUUAUAUAGUUAUAUUAAUGUAUAAAAUGAUUACCUAAAAAAAAAAAUGUAUAAAAUGAAUAUGGUCAAAAUGCUACCACCUUGUUCUGACUUGAGAUCUGUAUUAAGCUCUAUCUAGAACGUGGUUUAGUUAUUUCAAUCAAGAACAACAAUUGAGCUUCCACGAACUUGUUUGCAAAGUCCAAAUUAAUUGUUUUUCUUAUUAUCCUCGGAUUUAAAAUCAGGUUAUUAGUUAAAAAAAACUAUUUAAAAAAUCAUUUGAUCAAGUUCUUGGGAGUAUAUAAAACCUUUUCAAUUAUUAUAAAAAAUAUAAAACAAAAUAAUUAAUGGCUUGUUCAUGUUAUGAUGAGUGAUAUUAUUGCGUCGUACUCUAAAUUAAUCCAUCAUUUAUAAAAGAAUUGAAAUAUUGGCACUUCUUAAUUAAUCUCAACAAAUUCCAAUUCUAUUAAAAUCACAUUCAAAAGAAAUUAUAAAUGGAAUUAGAGUAGUUGACAACCCUCAAAAAGUCUCGAGAAAACCCCUUUUCUAAAGAUAGACCAUUAAAAAUUUUAAAAAUACUUAUAAUCCUAAUAACAUUAUUAUUAUUCCAUAAGAGUCUCUCUAUCUCUCCCUCUUUAUUCAAUUUCUACAAUCAAAAUUUAUAGAAAUAUUUAACUAACAUUAUAUUUCUCUCUCAGCGUUUAAUAAAUGGAGUGUUUUGGCCUUAAUUAAUUAGGAUACAGCCUUCUUUUCUUUUUUUCUUUUUAAUUUUUUUUUACAUUAUUUGAUUUCUUCUAUUUCUUUCUUCUUUGAUGUUGGAGUUACUACAUCUGUUUUCAAGGGAGAAUAACACUUAAUAUAUGGUCUUACAUAAUUUUUGUACCACUUGGUUAUUUGUAAAUUUUAAUAUCUUAUUUUGUCAAUUGUGUUAAAUGGUUAAUGAAAAAAAAAAGGAAUAAUUUUUUAUUCGGUAAACCAUGACAAAUCGAGUAAGCCUUUAUUAAUUAAACUCCAAUAAAAAGCAAUCAUAAAAAAAAAAACUAAAUUGAAAGAAGGAUCAUGCAAAAACAAGUCAAAGCUAACAAAUCCUCAACACAAAUCAAUUAAAAUUGACCUCGCAAAUCAACCGUCAGCAUAAUGAAAAAAGAACAACUCUUAUGAAAUAUGACAUUUUGACAUAUGCAUUGACAUAAAAUUAAAAUAUAAUGAAAAAAAAGUCACAUUUACAUUUCAAAAUGUUCUUUUUUAUUAAUAUUUUAACGCGAAGGAUUAUGGGCAAAAAAAUAAAAAAUAAAUCAUGAAGCUUGGACAGGAAGUGCUUCGUUUGAAUGAUAGUCUUUAAUUCAAAGCAAGCAUAUUUAUCAAGAUAAAUAAUUACAACACGCUUUAUAAAUUUAUCAGAAUUUCUAUAGUGGAAAUUAAGCACAAAACCAGAGAUUUUAGGCAUAGUACAUGGACUUAUCAUUAAUCAAACGUAUAAGAAGACAGGAAGCCAUCAACAGUUGGAUGGAUGGUGGGUCUUCAAUCACCUCCGCCAUCACCGCCGCCGCCGCCGCCGCCGCAUCCACAGCCGCAACAACCUACCGCAUGUCCGGCAGCCUCUACGGCCGGUCCCAUGUCAAUCUCAACUUGGCGUUUUUCUUUAACCUCAUUCUUCUUUUCUUCUUCUCCUUGAGGGGGAGGCGGAUCCACGCAUGCAAAAGCUAUCAUUGAUAGGAUUGAAAUUGCAAUCAAAACUUGGCAAAGUAGCAUUAUGCCACCAAAGAAACUGUUCAAACUUUCAUUCUGUAAACUUACUACUAAUUGUUCCUUUUUUU